UAAUUUUGUUAUAGAGAUCAUUUUUUACAUAGAGAUAACAUUUUCGUAUACUAGGUUGUGUUUAGUUCGGAUAUAAAUAAGAACUACUUAUUUUAAAGACAUUUACAAAUUCAGGUCUAAGCAAGAAUUAGACCAAUUUUACGAAAAAAAUUAGGUUGUUCUUUGAAAUAAGAUAAAUAGUGUUUGGAUUGUUAGAUUGGAAUAGGAGGGAUAAAAGUUAUAAUUUUAAAUUAAAAAUAUUUUAUCUAUUUAAUUAACAUCAAAAUAUUAAUUAAAAAUAAUUUAAUAAAUUAAUAAAUUUAUUAGCUAAGAUAAUAAAAAUAUAUUAAUUAAUUAAUUAAAUAAUAAAAAAAUAAUUUAACUUUUUAAUUAGUUAGUAAAUUAUUUUAGUUAGAUAACUAGUAAAAAAAAUUAAUUAGAUUAAUAAAAAUAUUAAUGAUUGACCAAUACAAAUAUUAGUUUAUGAAUAAACAUAUUAAAUUAUUGUAAUUAAUUAGCUAAUUAAUUAUAAGUAAUAAAUUAAUUAAUUACUUUCUUAUUUAAGAAAUACAUAAUAACUUAAAUAUAUUACUUAGAUUAAUUAAUGAUUUAAUAUCAUAAUUAAAAUUAAAUUUAGGCUUUGAUUAAUCUUGUUCCUAUUUGGGAAUAAGAUUGUUCCAGAAAAAAGAGUGGAACAACAGCUCUAAUCUUAUACUGAAUUAUACUAGUUUAUUCUAAAAAUCUGAGAACUAUUGUUUUCGGGUACAAAAAUUUAUGUUUGGAAAUAAAGGAGGGAAUAAAGACUUGUUCCUCAACUUGUUUUUGAGCCAAACGCUCUCCUAAUACCGAAUUUUUUUACACACUUAGCAUUCCGAGAGUUUGCGAUAAAAAAAAGGGUUAAUUUCAUAUAUAUUGCUGCAAACAUGAUGAAUGAUAAAUAUAUUCCUACAAAGUUCAACUUUCAUAUGCCGUCUCUAUAAAAGUUCUAAUAUUUUCAAAUAUGUCCCUUUUUGUUUGUUACAAUUUAUAUUUUAAUUUUGUCAUCAUAAAUAUAUCUCUUUAAAAGCCAUACUAAUAUAAUAUAAAGGAACAAAAAUAUCAAAAACUAUAUUGGGUUAAGUAUUUAACAUAUGGUUAACUAACUUUUCCUAACAGAUUCUAACGGCAGGAACAUAUUUGAAAAUAUCAUGACUUUUGCAGAGAAAAUAUAUAAAAGUUGAAUUUUGUAGGAAUAUAUUUACUAUUUACUAUAUUUGUCAGGACAUAUAUGAAAUUAACCCAAGAAAAGAAAGGGGGAGGAAAAAAAACAAAAAAUGAUCGUACCUGUGGAUAAAUUUUCGAAUACUUAGGUUUAGGUGGGCAAGCGCAGAAAAUCCCGACGCACUUGUCCGUAGAGUGUUAGUGUGUCAUGUCCUGGCGCAGGUGAUGCAAUUUUUUUUUCCUGCAAUAAAAGAAUGAGCCCAAAAGUGUUAGUCGGCGCCGUAGGAGUGACCUCUACGGACCAGAUGUCGAACCCUGGUGGAAUUGCCGCAGUAGGACGGAGAAGAUAACGGUAGUGGUCGGCUGAAACGGUCACCGCCAUCUCUUGUCUCCGGACUUUUUACUCGCGCUUAUGUAUGUCUCCAAUUUUACUUUUCAUUUUUAUAAUACAAUAAUAAUCAUAAUCUAACUUCUUCUAGCAGCUAUUGUUAUACAAUUAUUACUUUUAAUUGGAUCUCCUGAGUCAAAAUACUGUGCGGAUUUGGACAGGAAUUGUCGUGUGCUGGGACAGCUAAGUUACAUCCAUUCCCCAGAGACGAAAAAAGCUAGUCAAUAAUCUACUGCCACAUAAUAAUAAUAUCUAUUAAUUAACUAUAUAUAUAUAUAUAUAUAUGAUGAUGAUGAUGCUCGUAAGUUAUUAUUAUGUGCAUGAAUUAGUCAACAGCUUCUUACAUCGAGCAAGGCAAUGAAUGAAUAACAAAGCAAGAUCUGAGGGAACUCGCAAGUUUUCUGAUGACAACGAAGGGCCACCUCCUUUCUUUCUCGGGGCUGCUAUGUUCAAUGUCGACGCAGUGAAUGUGAUGCCCCCCGUGGUUGCGUGGCUCCCAGUCCUCGUGUUUUAUUAUUUUGUAUUCAGCUCUACAAAGUCAUGAAUUUGCCUGCAGCAGGCUUUUUCUCCGAGCUUAUCCCCCUUCAAACUUUAAAAGCUUCGCUCCUCGGCGGUUGAGUGCUCGUGCGACCGGCUCGUGGAGGGGGUCGUCUUUUAGGCGAGCGAUGAUUGAAAAGGCGUUCGAUUUACGAGAUCAACGAUGGCGGUCACAUCCCCCCAAGAAAAAAGUUGUUGAAAACUUUUUUUUUUGAGAAAUAGGUAGCAAGCUACCUGCUUCAUUCAUUAAGUCUAAUGAACUGAGCAUAUAAGUUGGUGGCAGCUUAGGCCUCCGAGUAAGCGGAAAAAAAAAAGAAAAAAAAGAAAAAAAAAGAGGAGGUACGUGAGGGCGUCAGAGCAAUGUACUCCAAGAGUUGAUCAGAGCUUUGAGGCGAUCAAGAGACCCAGAAACCAUGGGCGACUUUUCAUUGAAAAUAGAGUUGUUUCUAUCUGUCCAGAUUACCCACCAAGUCGCAGCCAGAAGGACCAAGCGUUGGUUUCGCAACGUGGCGACAGGAAUUUCAGUACCUUUGGUCCAUAGAGCUUUAGCAUCACCAGUGUUGUCUACGUUUGCGUCCGGUAGUCCUCCCAUACUGAGAAGAAGAUACCGAACGUAAACACAGUCGUUGAAAAGGUGGUCGCAGCUUUCCGUAUGAACUGCGCAGAAAGCACAGUUCUGGUCUACGUGCAUGCCUCGGGCGAGCAGUCUGUCGGAGGUGGGUAGUCUAUUUCUAAGGAGUAGCCAAAUGAAAAUUUUAAUUUUAACUGGGAUUUUGAGCUUCCAGAUGUGCUGAUUCGUCAGGACACGAAGUCCAGAAUCCGUGAUGAACUGGUAAAGGGAUUUAACUGUGAAUAGUUGGUUGGAGGUCCAUCGCCAUUUCACCAAGUUGUUGAAAACUACAACUACUACAUCAACCUGUAAGAUCAAGUAACUUCAAGUGUGCUGUGUGCGCGCGCGCACAUAUAUGCAUAUAGUUCUGCAACUUAUUGUUGGGUGCAGAGUUCACGCAUAUAUGCAUAUAGUUCUGCAAUUUAUUGUUGCGUGCAGAGUUUGAUCGGCCCCAAAGAACUGCUUAGAAAACCCUCCGAGGCUCUGACUAUUGCAUCUUUCCAUCUUCACGAAAGUGAAACCAAGUAUUAAUCACAUUGCGAGUAAUAUUGAAUACCAAAGCUAUUGGUUAGUCAAAAUCGUUACUCUCUCCAUCAUCUGAGAGUAGCGGCAUUUAAACCACAGCCGCAUCUAUUACAUCGACAGCGCUCUUCUAACAUUCGAAAGAUUUGAAUCUUGAACAAUUUAGUAAAGCACUCAAGAGAGCAAGCAAAAGAAACCACUCUCAGUAAAAUCACCCAAAGCUAUACUAGAUAUGAAAAGUUACAAAACCAAAUAAUAGAGACAAAUGACAUGACUAACCAAGAGUGCUUAAUUGUGACUGCAACAACGUGUCAAAGUUGAGAUAAUUUAUCUGCAAUCAUGUCGCCCACCAUAACAACAAGACCAUCCAAGAAAUUCAAGUAUAAAGCAUCAUUACUGUAUAUGUGUCAUCAGUAAUAACACUGCAGCAUACAAGUUACAGCAGCAACCAAAACUGAAAAUUUGUAAGCAUAGAAUCUUAUUAAUGGACUGGCCUUUUGUAAACCUAAAAAUAACAAAAGAGCAUGAAAUUGAAAUAACAAGAGCACACAAAAUUUCAGCAACCUGAGCUCUCCUUUAACUGCUGCUCUUUACAGCUAUUGCUGACACAUGACUAGAAAAGUGUUUCUUUUACGCUCUGACACCCUCAUUCAUCAGUCCCCCAAUUUCAAGUUUGAAGAAAUAUGAUAAUUCCCGCAUCUCCUGAUGGUAACCAAUUAGCGGAGAACGUUUCUGUGGCUACAAAUAAUAUUUUCUGAUAUCACAUCACUGUACACUGCUUUACAGUUGGGAAAGAUUGGUCUACGUCAAUGCAAGCUCCUCCAAUUGAUUAGAAAGCUCAACUUCUGGGUCGGGGUUGAGGAUUUGCUUAAUCUCAUCAGCAUUUAGUGUCUCGUACUCAAGUAGCGCAUUCGCUAACGCAUGCAACGCCCUUUCAUGCUGAAAAUAAAGAGUUAGAAUUUAAUGAGAAAAGACAAUUAGAAAAACAAAAAUUAGGAACUUUCGAGAAAAAUUAGCUGAUGCAGAAUGGCACAACCCCUAAAAACAGACCUUUCAAAUUAUCACAAUGAUGCAACCUUUCAGAUCUCACUACCUUCAAACUUUCAAACAAAUAAAUGAUCACAAACAACCUUCAAGCCAAGGAUGAAAUCUUGAUCUUUCUUUCUUUCUUUCUUUCUUUUUUUCCUUUUUCUUUUUAGUAAUCUAAUGAAUGCUUAUGCUAAUCAUCAUACCAUCUAUCCACAACUAGGAAGUAAAGCAUGCACUAGUCUGCAGUCAUCCAAUAUUCCCCUGCAUAAACAGUUGUUUAGACUAAUCUGUUUUUACAACACCUGUAAAGAUUACUAGCAAUUGUAUUCAGUAAUCUGUUUUUACUCCGUGUAAAGAUAAGCUAGCAAUUGUAUUCUUGCUCCCUAUUUCUUCUUUGUAUGAUGCAGGAAGGAGUAGCUUCAUUCAUUCUAGAAGUUUGCUGAUGGCAAUAAAUAACGGAACAACCAUUAUCUCAAUACUUUGAUCAGUAUGGCUAAAAGGAAAUUGAAAAUGUACAUAGAUGGAGAACUGAUGAUACAAAGGCCCAUGGACAGUUAAAACGACACAUUUCAGAGACAAACCUUCUUAAGCAAUCGUUUGACUCGAUCAUAUGCUUCUCUCAGAAGUUUGACUACCUGCAUGAAGAGAAAGCUUUUAGUCAAUUAAGGUUCUGUAGAACAAUACCAAGAUGCAACAGAUUAUCAAAAUAGCAUACCUCAAAUAAAUCAGAUGGCAAUUAAGAUUGUAAAGUAUCAGAAAAUAUGUUGAAACAGCGACUGACGCUUCCUUAAUAGUAAAUUAUAAGAUUGGCACUAAAUCUAAAAAAUAUUGAGGCUGAUAAUAUGCAAAAGGCACAGACACAAAUUUCAGGCGGUGACUCAAAACUCAGUCUGGUUAUAACAUGGGAGUACUGAUCAAUAAUACCAGCUACAGCCAUGCAAGACAAUAUAUAAUGAACAGUAGAUAUUAUAAUCUAGAUAUUUAAAAAAGAUAUGUAAGAUAAGGUUCGUAAAACAUGCCUCUGCAUCUAUCCGUGAUUGCAUCUCUGAACCUGGUCUCUCUUUAACAUGAACAGGGCCAAUUGCAUCACUCAUCCCACAAGUUGACACCUAAGAAAUGUAUAAUAGGUUCAAACGUUUAAUAUUGACUAAAAAAGAAAAUAAAAAAAGGAGGUUUUCUGGACAUAAUAUUGUACCAUAUAAUGAGCGAGUUCUGUCGCUGUAUGGAGAUCAUUACUUGCACCAGUCGUAACAUAAUCUUCACCAAAGAUAAGCUCUUCAGCAACUCUCCCUCCCAUGCAGACAUCGAGGCGUGCUAAUAGCUGUUUCUUGCUAACAGACGUUUCAUCUUGAGAAGGAAGCUGUGUGACCAUCCCAAGGGCAGAACCACGUGGCAUUAUAGUUGCUUUAUGGAUAGGAUGAGCACCAUCGGUAUUAAGAGCAACAAUGGCAUGGCCACUCUCAUGGUAAGCAGUAAGCUAGAAAGAAGAUAUAAUACCAUUGUUAAUACCAUUGUAACAUUCCAUGGUUCUCUUAUAGUCAGUCUGGCCUAGUUGGAAUUUCUGUAGAAGUGUUGUUUAAAUAAAUCUGUUUAAAGAAGCACUAAUAGCAUUCUUUGGAAUCUACUCAGUAGCUUCUUGCUGACAGAAGCAGAAGUUUCAUAUUUAAGGUUCUGCUUUUGGAGAUUGAUGGUGCAUUAUAGCAAAUUGCUGCAAGCAAAUGCUCCAGGUUUUUUAUUAGCCAAAUCUUGGAGCACAGCCAGGCACCGAAAACAGCUAAGCAUGGCCAGAAACUAAUUGUCUGAAGCGAAAAAAGGCAACAGCUCAAGUUCACAUGUGAAAAGAUUAUCAACACACCUUCCUUGAUUCUUCAGAUAUAUACAUAGUCUUUCUUUCUGUUCCCAUUAUUAUCCUGUCUUUUGCAAACUCCAACUGAGCAGCAGUUAACUUUUCAACGCCUUCAACUGCAGCCUUAAUGGCUGCGAUAUUAACCAAAUUUGCAAGAUCUAGCAAAUAGUGGAAAGAACACUUAGUGUGGCACUUUAGGAACUUCUGGGUGUUAAGAAAACUCAGAUUUCAAAUGCUGCCAAACAUGGUGCAAUUAAUAAUUACUAAUUAUGUCCAUAGAUAUGGUUUAGAAGUAAGAAAGCAGACCUGCACCGUUGAAACCAGGUGUACCACGAGCAAUUGCAUUGAUGUCUACAUCAUCAGCCAUUGGUUUGUCCUGCAAGUAGAGCUCCAGUAUCUCUUGUCUGCCACGAACAUCUGGAUUUGGGACAACAAUCUGCAAGAAAAUAAGAAAUCAGAAAUGAGGAGGGAAAAAACCAAAACACAUUUUUUGCACAUUUCAACUUCCUUGAAAACUAGUGCAACUAAUUAAUGCAUUUGUUCAGUAAUUUCCUCAUUAAUGAAGCUAAUGUUUUCAUCGACCUAACUGCAAAUGGAGCACCCAAACAAUAAGCAAAGCUCUUGAAGCACCCUGAUCUAAGCUUAUUCAUCGAAUAAAGUUAUAUCAAGUCUCUGAGCCGAUGUUUGAGUACAUUUAUUUCCUAUUUUCAGGUGCUUUUAAUGAAUAUGCCCAGAAUUUUUAGGAGAACUUAUACUCUUGACAAAAAAUCACAGAACAAAGAAUUCAUCCCUCAAACUAAGAGAGUAAAUAACUAACAGCACAAUUUUGCAGAGUCUGACUUGUUCCCAAUAAUACGGGACUCAACCUUUUUUUACAAUUGUUUUUUCAACAUAUUCCAACAAUUUAUUUGCAAAAACUUGUCCUGUAGCAAAGUUUGAAUAAUACUUACAUGCCUGUCAAAUCUACCAGGUCGUGUCAAUGCCGGAUCAAGAAUGUCUGGCAAAUUUGUUGCAGCCAUCACUAUUAUGCCCUGUAUAGAAAAUUAAUGCACUUAAGAAUUACAUAGUGGCUUGCCUCAGGGUACUACAAUUAUCAAUAUAAUAUACCUCAUUCUGCUCAAAUCCAUCCAUCUCAACGAGUAGUUGAUGCAAGGUUUUCUUUGUAUGCCCCUCCCAUUGCUUUCUAGUGGAACCGACAGCAUCUAUUUCAUCAAUGAAAAUGAUGCAAGGCGCCUAUGAUGAGCACAAAAAUAUAGAUAACAUUGAGAACAAAUAAUAUCUAUUGAGAACAAAUAAGACAAAUAAAAUGAUAUGAAUUUAAAUUGUAGCACAACAGGACGAUGAGCAGGAGAGUAUGUUUACCUUCUUCUUAGCAGCCUGAAAUAAGGACCUUACUCGCCGGGCACCGACGCCAACAAACCUAACAUAAAAGAUCAAGUUGGACUCUCUAGUUGUAAAAAAGGACAAUGUAUACUCUACAUUGAGAUAAUAAAAAAGACAUAAUUGCACAUGAGUGAAACCUCAUAAAUUCCCCAGUAAACAAAUAUUCUUUUUAUCUCCAUAAAAUUUCUAAUCAAGGGGAGAUUUAACUUAAAACCAAUUGAUUUGUUUGGCAAUUGAUUCCUAGCAAAUAGGCAAGAGCACACAGGAUGCUGGCUAAGCAGCAAAUCGAUGACAAUACUUGUUAAGACUUAAAGAGGGACCAAUCAACAUGCCAACUAUUUGCAAUUUGACAACAAACUGAUAAUAUAGAUUGCGCAAUCCAAAAUGGUAGCUUACAUUUCCUCGAAUUCUGAACCUGCUCGAUAGAAGAAAGGCACCCCAGCUUCUCCAGCAAUAGCCUGAAGCAACAAACUCAGCCCAUCAGAAAAGUGAGUUUCAGUUAUAAACAACGAGCAAUUCGCAUUGGCCUUAGAAAUUUAGAACAUGUAUAUCAACAUCAAAUGUUGGCAAUUUGGCAUCUGGUGGCUGCUACCCAGCAUGCAAGAAAUUCAAGAUUCCCUAGUAAUACCUAGAAUGUCUGUCAAAACUUAUCAAUUAGAAGUGUUUUAAUUCAUUAAAUCAUAUCCACAAAAAUGCAUGUACGUUAUCUGCAAUCAUUCAAUAUCAACAUGCAAUUAGAGCAGCGGAAGACUGAACAAAGACAUAGUCUUUUGACCUAAACAUUUCGAAACAAUUUACUUCAUCAACAGGCAACCAAAUAUCAAGUCGAUAUAUCAUAACAAAAAUUUAUUUACUAAAUUGGCGUAAGCACAUUAGGUUGCACAGUGAAAGUGUAUAUUACUGCUCAGGGAACCUUUUUCUCACGAAAGAACACUUGAUUUUCUAUUAUUUAAAUAAGUUUAAGGGUCAAACUAACUAAAAUACCUGUGCCUUAAAUAAUCAAAGAAGAGUGAAAUAUCAAAUUACAUGGUAGAUAAACUCGCCUUAGCAAGCAAAGUCUUCCCUGUUCCAGGUGCACCAGUCAAAAGAAUUCCCUACAAAGCCAUUAUUUGUCAAGUUCAUGAAGCAGUUCAAGAGAAAUUACAAACAAUAAUCAAAAUGAUAGCUCGAACUAAUUGAACUUUGGCAUACCUUCGGUAGCUUUCCCCCGAGGCGAGUAAACUUUGAUGGAUUUUUAAGAUACUCCACUACUUCUUCGAGUUCUUUCUUUGCAUCAUCACAGCCUUUAACAUCCUUAAAUGUUUUGACAUUCUAUAUACGGAAAGUCAUGUAGAGCAUCCUCCAUCAAUGAAAAGUUGGAACAACAAACCUUUUUUCAGAGUAAAGCAACAAGAUGCAAGUAACUAAAGCAAUAUGCUGAACAACAUGUCAACAAACUACUGUAUAUUGUUCAGCAUAUUGCUAUUAUUUAAGCAAAUGAAGCUUAAGCACAUGAACAAACUAUGAGUACGCAAGAAUGAAGAAAGUUGAACCUCAUAAAAAUAAAAACUAAAAGAAUAAACAGACAUAAUAGAGCCAUACUACCUUCUCUGGCAUAAUUUCUUUGUUCAACUCUUUUGGGGAAUACGUAGCACCAGAACCAACACCAGAGGUCCCUAUGCCACUCAAGCUGCCAACAUAUUUUUGGAGUGCAGCUGCCCCCAUUACCCUGGCAAUUACAAGGAGCCACUAGUGAACCAGACAGAAAAAUACAAGAUCACAUUUCAGUUGAAUUGACCAGUUUGAACCAUCAAAAGAAGCUAAGCAGCAGCAUCUGAUUUGUUAAUAGAACUUAAAAGUUGCAGUUGGUUUUCAUAUAGUUUGAAGAAUAGAAUAAUGCACAUCAUAGAAGCAGGAAAAUAUUUUUUUUUCAAAGUAUACAGUGAUAUAUUGAAGACUCGAGAUGCAAUAAUUCAGCAUACAAGAUCCACAACAUAAAUACAGUGGAAAGAAAGCAAAAAUAAUUUAGACCCGAGGUGAUAAAGAGCAAACUUCUAUUUAGAUACAAGAUGUUAAAAACGCUUGAUGUAACAAUAGCCAAAAUUAAAAACGCACCACAUCAGACCAACAACAACUGUGAACAGGAUUGUUGAGAGGAGCUCCUGAGCAAACCUUGUUGACCUACUUGAUGCUUUAGGAUCAACCUGAAGCGAAAAAACAUGAGAAAUAGAACAAGAAAAGACAGCAAAAAGCCUAAAGCACUUGAUUGAUACUACCUAUAUCUUAUAGCACUUUUCCCAUCACAAACAAUGUCCUAACAGAAUUUCUGCUAUAUACUUUAACUUACCAUAACCACAUGCAAAGGAUGCUUCUCUGAUAUUCCAGGGUUCAAGAAUAGUUCGUCCUCAUUCCCAGAUGCUCGUUGCUUCAACUCUUGCAACUACUGACAAAAAAUUUAAAUUUCUGGGAAAGUCAAAAGUUCGUAGCAGCAAUAAGAAACUCAUUAAAAAUGAAAAUUUGAUAGCAAUUUACAGUUUCAAACAACUCCAGUAAACAGGUAGAGAAAAAAAAAAAGAAAAAGAUAUCAAGAAAAUGUUGAAUUGGUCAGUGUUGGUAGUAAGAUUAUAAAACCCUAGAAAACUUUUGCACUUAACAUUCAACUAUUCAAGAUCAGCAAUGUAGCUUUCUAAAGGACGAUCAGCAAAUUAUAGUCUAAAAUUUGUUAAAGAUGCAUCUAUCAUUGUUUACUCAAUUUUCAACAAAUGCAAGACACUUUUCAAGAGGAACAAAAGAACAAAAGAAGCUAGAGAAAAAUGGUCUUAAGAGCAAAAGAAAUCAUGCAUAUAACAUAAUGAAAUAAAAUCAUCCAUAGCCCAGUCAAAAUUGAUAUAUAGCAUCAUUAGAAAAUAAUCAACUUUUAGAUUUAAUGAAAGCAACAAAUGCUUAAGACAAGAAAGUAAUUAUCCAUGAUUCGCAAUCUAAUAACAAGGUGAGAAUUAUGAGUACCAAAUUUGGGAGAGUAGAAGGUUUCCCUGACUGCUCGUCUGGUAGAUAUUCUGCUAUAGCAUUAGUCAUAACAAGAGCUCGUAGAUAUUCUGCAACUCCUUUGCUGUCCACUGCAUGGCUUCUUUGCUCAAAACGCCUAAUUACAGACUCAGGACUGCCAAAAAAGAAUUAGGUGCCGUUCAUUAGUGUACCUAAAAGUUAUCGCUUUUAGAAAAAGAAGAGCAGGCAGUAGUGGCACUAGUGAACAACCUCUAGCAUGGGAAAACAACUUUUUAAAUUCACAAUGUAUUCCAAAGAGAGUAGAUAUGAACAUAGAACUUGAAAAUUGAUUAAAAGAUUAUUGAUCAAAAAAUUGGCUCUCCUUCUUUCAUUUUUUUUUUUUUUUUCCUUUGAUGCAUUAGAUAGACAAGCAUUUUCAUUGAAUAAAGAAUCAAAUUUACAUCAAGUAGUACAAAGAGCAGGUUUUAUGAAAUGCAACAGGUAAUUAGAGUGUGCAGACUUUUUAAGUAUUGCUAGUAUAAUCAAAAGAUGAGCUCUCUACAGUACUAAUCCAGGUUCUUGUACUGGUUAUCUCUUAUAUGAUCUUUUAACAAGUUCCUUCCUUUUCCAAUCGAUCUUCUACAAUUUUGCAAGUCUUAACAAGAUUAGUGAUGUCCUAUAAGCAAGGUGCUAAAGAAGGCCCCUGUACUCUCUAGUCUCUGCUAUCUGAUUUUAUCAUUUUAGUAGUUGAUCCAUCUCUGUUCUGCUUGGACUCUCGUUUUUCCCUAACUCGAAGGAUCGUCUACCGCCGUAGAUUCAUAAAUAUCCAACUUUGCAUCAAGUUCAAUUUGCUUCCACUUAAAAAGAUCAAAACUUUCAAGGACUGCGGCAUCCGGCAAAUAGAACUAACGAGGAACAGAGAAAGGAAAGAUGAAAAUAAACAGAAAUUUGACCAGCUAAAGGGAGAGAACCUAGAAACCAAACCUGUGUUUAUUGAGCUCCGAGAGAAGAGCGCUCUGCUUCGCGGCGUCUCUAGGGUUUGCAUCGGCCUCCGCAAUUAGCCGCUCCAACCUCUUCUCCUGCCUCCAGAACGGCCACCAGCUUAACCACUCCGACAUCGCCAAUGUAUCGAGCCCCUUCCUCGCCGAAGCAAGCACCCCGACCAAAAACGCCACUACGGGCAACCUACUCUCCGCCCCCUUCCUCUCCCCCGCCGCACCAUCCGAUUCCGCCACGGAAAACACCGCCCCAUCCCCAACCCACCCACCCUCCGCCGCAUCCUCCGCGGCCCCCGCCGCGCCAUCUCCGCGGGAAAGGUCGGAGCUUCCGACGUCGCGGUACUCCACGAGCGGGUCCUCGCCGGGCGAGGCGGGCUCCCGGCCCGAAUCCGCGGCCUCGGGGGGCAAUGCGCGGACGCGGAGGCAGUGGCGGUGGCGGUGGCUGGGGCGGGACCUCGGGAGGGCAUCAACGGAGACGAAGGCCGAGGCGGCGCGCUUCGGGCGGCGGAGGAGCCGGACACACGGCGGCGACGGCCGGAAGAGGAGGAGGGAACCUUGCAGCGCCGACAUGGUUGCUGCGGCGGCGGCGGCGGCGGCGGCGAUCGAGUUCCUCGUAGCUCUCUCCGUCUCCGCCUCGCUCUCUCCGGAGAAGGGUGUGGGGGCGAAGAGGAGGAGAGAGCGAGGGUUUUGAGGUUAAUAGCCACACGCGAUGGGGGGGGCCUUAUCUCGAGCCUUUGGGUGUUUUUAGUUUUAAGUACGAAUGGUUUGACUCGUAAAUUAAGGGAGAAGAAAAACGAAGGGACGGGGAGAUGGAGAGAGGUUGUGGCGGCUUUUUAUUAAUUAAUUAAAUUAGUGUGUUAGCCUCGGGCGCAAGAAAAGUUGCAUAGAUACUUUGAUUGCUGUGGCUGCAAUUCGAUAACUUGUCCUCUCUCCUUCGGAUCCCUUUUUCGGGUUUGAGUAGUCUUAUGCACAAAUGUAGUAGUUUUGAAUCCCAAAAUAUGAUUUUUCUUUUCUUUUCUUUUCUUUUUUCUUUGUGCAAUGCAAUUUUAAGUUAGGCCUUAAUUCUCUUUUAUUAACUAAAAUAUGUUUUAAAAAAAGUGCUGGAGAUCUUAUCUCAUCCCUUAACCGCUUCAAACUAAAAAAAUCUGAAUACAAACAAAUCGUGCUUAUUAUGAGCUAUACCAUAUUUGUAACUUGCUCUCUGGAGCAAAUAAUGUGAUAUAGUUAAUAGUUAAUUAGGUCGAGUCAAACAGCGAUCAUCUUUGGAUUUGAAAGAACCCAACCCAACCAUUAUUACACUAAUUAAGAUUAUAUUGGGUCCAACGUAAUCUGUUAAUCAAAUUGUGUUUGGUCGGCUCAUAUGAUCAUAUCAAACUCAACAACAUUCAGACUAUUGCUGAUAGUACAGUUAGUACAUCAGAAAAUGGGAAAAAAAAAAUUACAUCGUGUCUAUCCAUCCAGCAUCAGUAAUUUUACACUAAUCUUCUUAUAAUGUUUUUUUUUAAUAUUCUAAACUUGAAAGAAAUGUUGAGCCAUCAACUGAACCGUCGUAAGAUUUACAUUCUACUUUUAAUUUAAGCGAAGGAGCUAUCUUAUUAUCCAAGAGGCAGGUUACAGAUCAACUUAGACAAAAUGUUCCCCUCUGCAAUUAAAACUCAAAUGUAAGAUACGGAAAUCGCCACAAUUCCAAAGCACCAAGAACUCAGCUGCAGCCUACAUAUCAUGUCCUUCGUUUCUUGCCAGCGACGGGGAACCGCGUCCUAAUGAACCGAAACCGCUCUCGCCUCCUCGCCCGGCCGGCGCCUUCUGCUCUCCUCCCAGUUCAGCGGGACUCGACCUUCCCUGUCUCGACUGAGCCUCUCCUGCGCCCCGCCACGGAGCUUCUCCAGCCUGAGUCCAUCUGCUUGCUGCAUCUCAAACACUUUCAGUACAUUGCAUAGUCCUCCGACGAAGAACAGCAGGCUCCCAAACAGACACAACCAUGCCCAGCUCUUUGCCUGCACGUAGUCGGUUAGCAACCGUAUGACUCAGUUUCUAAAACAACUUCAGUAAUAUCAAAUAAAGUAUAUGAAGAUCAUACAUUAAAGUUAACUUUUAAAGCUUGUUUCUGCAGAAACCCUGGUGGCAAGUAACAAGGUUCUGACUGCUUGAAUAGCUGUGGAAGCUUACCAUGAUCUCGGACUCUGGAUGAGGCGAACCGGAGACGUAGUGCCGAUUGAAGAAGCCGCCAACCAAGAAGAGCAAGCUACCCAUGAGGAAUGGGAGGUUUACGCUUGAUUGCAGGAUCUGGGUGCGGCCGUCGGCUCUCUCGUAAACCUGGCACGCGUUGAGGAUCGAACCCACGAGCCACAACAGCGGCCCGGCAAUCAGUGCAUUCAAUGCGUGCUUCUCCAGCCUAUAACUGUAUCCUCUGUUUUCCUGCAGGAUUAUUUUCAUAAUAAUAUAAACUAUGAUUUGAUUAGAUUAAAGCACAUCCGGGCCCAAAUUAAGCGUUUUAGGGCAUAACUAUGUAUCUUGGUCUCAAACACCAUUCAAAUCGUUUAUGUUUAGUUAAGACUAUUGCUAAAUUGUCUCCUAACACAGAGAAUUAUGUUGAACAAGGCGACAAGGAUUUAUCAGGGCAAUUGGAUUAUGGAAUUCAGAUUUUGCUGAAGAAGUGAUUAUUGGAUAUGAAAAUUCUCGUCAUAGUUCAUCAAGAUCAUUCCGCAACACGCUAAUCAACCAUUAUGCCUCGUUUAUUUAUUUAUUUGGUAAAAACAUAUCGAACUUAUGUAAAUUAUAAACCAUUUUUAAUUGACUAUGUAAUUUUUUUUUAUAUAUUUUUCCACUCAAUUUUUUUAAUUUGUUUAAUUUGAAUCAGUCAACGGCACCUUACCUUUAAAAUUAAUUAUUUUUUCAGAUUUAGUUACGAUACAUUAUACAAUUCUCACCUUUAUAAAUUUAUUAAAAUAAGUAAUUAGCUAAAAUUUUAAAUCAACGUAAUGUGUACCAACUCAAAUCAAAUAAAAAUUUAAACAAAUUAAAAAAAAUAAAUAAUAAAUUAAAAUUUUGAAAGAUUGGAUAAUUAUUCAAAAAUGGUGAACAAUAAGUUCCGUGAGUUUUUUUUUUUUUUCUUUUUUUCUUAAAUCCGAAGCUCGGGCUUACACUGAAAUGUGUGUGGAGAGUUUUGAGUAUUUGAGCGCCGGACCAAAAUUAAUGCACGCACCUGACUCAGUAGUAACAGCACUCCGACGAAGCUAAGGACCGAUCCCAAGAAGCACACCGCCGGCACUGCAAACUCGACGAGCCCCAGCUGCAGGUCGAAGCGCACGAGCCCGACGCGGCAGUCGAUCCCGGCAGCGUGCGCGGCGAGGUCGUGCGCGCUCGCCGCCGCCGCGAUCGCCAGCGCCACGAGCGCCACCACCAGCCCGAACUCGCUGCUUCUGCUUCGCGGGCCAGCAGCGGGGAGCUGCGCCGCGAAGCCGGCGAGAAGCAGCAGGGAGGCGAAGACGUAGACGCCCGCGUUUAUGUACUCCCAGCGGUUGCGCGCGCCGCGGGGCCCGUACGCGCGGCUCUCCCGCGCCGUCACGAGCUUCACCAUGUAUAUGUUUUUUUUACUAAUGAAUUACAAAUAGCUCAGUGGGACAGAGAAAAGAAUAGAGAAAAGAUUCAUAUUUCAUAAGAAUAUAUGUACAAAGCGGUGGUGCAGGUCAGGAAUGAGAGAAGCGUGAAGGGAUUGAGGGAAUGGACACGUGGGUUGUUGCAUGCAUGGGAUCGCGUGAAGGGCACUUGCGUGACACGCAUGACUCUGGUGUAUCAUGUAUGGGUGGAAAUGUAGAAGAGGAUUUAUCCCUGUGUCUGUGUGCGUCGAAUUUUACUUUUAUUUUUACCAAUGUUAAUUAAUAUUUGCUAGUAGUUAUAUUUAUUUUUCUUAAAGAAAUUUAAUUGCAUAUGUGUCCUUACAAGGCAAUCUAAUUGCAUUAUUUGUUCCUCAAAAUUCUUCUAAUGUUGCAUAGUUUUUAAAUAUAUUUAUCUCUAAUUAAUUUUUUUUCCUACAAAAUAAUUAUUAUAUUUUUAAUUUCUUUAAUACCAAAAAUUUAAAAUAAACCGUCUAAACUUUUGCUAAAGAGAGAAAAGCACUGUUCAAAAUCAUUUUAUUAAAUAGUGCUACAUUGUUUUAGUAAUAUUUUAGUAUAAAAAUCUCUCUUUAAUAUUAUAAUAAUUCGGAUCCGGGUUCAUCCGACCCGACCCAUACUGUAGUCAACACCAACACACCGAACUCGAAUCAGCGUCUACGGCUUUCACCUCGAUCGGCGCUCCCCCGUCCUUCGAGCCAGUAUCCAAAUGCCGACGCGGCGGCGCGACCGCCGCAACCCGCCCGGUCCAUCCGAACCGGCCAGCCCGAACCGGCCGGCUCAGACCCCACCCCCCGCCGCAUCAAAACCGCGCCUCCUCCUCGUCUUCUUCUUCUUCCUCCUCCUCCUGCUCCUGGUCUUCGUAUCGCUGCUCGCCGUGCACCGCUCCAAUCGCGGCUCGCCGAACGCCGGUGCACCCGCACUUUCGGUCUACGAGAGGGGCCUCGUCAAAGCCGAUGUUGCGUUCCGAGAAAUCCUCGCCGUACGUUCCAUCCUUCUCUAUUCUCUUUCUCUUCCUCACUGUGAUCGAUACAUAUCUCCUUUAGAAUUCGCGACAUGUGCUUAAUUUAUACAGGAGAAUGCUAGGGUUUCGGAGAACCGAUCUCGCCGCCACUUCCCGAAUCCCGUCUUGGCCUACGUUACUCCCUGGUGUGUUCUUCGUAUCGCGAUUUUUUGAGUAUUUUUGUGUAAUUAUUCUAUGUAUUUUCCCCAAUUUUACAAUUCCUAGCAACGGGAUUAGAUAGAGGUUAAGUUUCUCGCUUUUUAGAGAAUCUAAAAUGGGCUUCAUUUUGGAGCUUUUUGCUUCUAAUUGCAGCUUAAAGCUGUUUGUUUCACUGUAACGACUUUUAUAUGGUAGGUGACAGGAUUUGCUUUACUCAUGGUUAUUUAGAGGAUAAAUUAGUUGAAUUGUCUUGUGUAUUUUGAUAUUGUGUCAGAUUUGUUAGUUGCAUUUGAAUGUUCGGAGUAAGGAGGUAAAUGAUAAUCAUAUAUAUAUUCAUGAUGAUUAUGCAGUUAUCACCUGAGUUUCUUUUGCAAUCUCUCAAUUUAUUUUUUUUUAUUUUUUAUUUUUUUAUUUUUUUAUAUGGUUUGCUUGUAUUUGGUGUUAUUUCUGGAUGUAUUAAUGUAUAAAAAGUAUGUAAUGCAGGAAUUCCAAAGGCUAUGAAAUGGCGAAGCUAUUUACUUCAAAGUUCACGCAUCUGUCGCCUGUGUGGUAUGAUCUGAAAAGGUAUGAAGAACAUUUCUUAUUGAAUAACCAACUGUUGUUAUUUCGUCCUACUGUGUGUGUCGUGUAUUCUUUCAGUCUAAUAACCUGCUGCUGCUGCUUCUGCUGCUUCUGCUUAGCGAAGGGAAGAACCUAGUUCUCGAGGGACGACAUAAUGCUGACGUAGGAUGGAUAUCAGAACUUCGCAAGAACGGGAAUUCUCUGGUAUAUCAUUAUCAUCCAUUCCGAUUGUUACUGGAACUUGUUAAGUCGUUUCUUUGAAUACAUUAUUGUUAAUUUAAUGAUGUUUCGAGUGUCUUUAUGCAGUACGUAAGUACGUUGGCACUUAAUUUUGGAAAAACAACACGGAGAUAGUGAUUCUGUGAUUGAAUGCAUAUUUUUGCAAUCUGUUGAUAAAUAUAUCGUCUAGAAAUCAAUGACUGUUUGUUCUUGUAUUUGUAAUUUGAUGGUAGUAGUAAUAACCAAGCAAACUAGAUUUAUGUUGUGGCAAACUUAAUAUAUGUCUAGUAGGUGGUCCCUAGAGUUGUCCUAGAAGCAUUUCCUGUGGAGAUACUCUUGAAGAAGAAACGGUGGAGUAAGGCGAUCAAUUUAAUUGUAGAUGAAUGCAAGUAAGUCCUUUUUUUAAAUAAUUUUUUACCAAGUAUUGAUGUUACAUUUUAACUUAACAUCUUCUUGUGAAUUCAUAGGGAAAUGGGAUAUGAUGGUAUUGUGCUGGAAUCCUGGUCAAGGUGGGCAGUCUACGGUGUUCUGAACGACCCAGAGUUGCGGAAUUUGGUAUUUUCAUUAUUCACUAAUGUUUAAGUAGCUAGUUACGAUUUGAAAUGUUAAAUUUGCAUAGACUAUGGUAUGGUUAUCUGGUGGCUUUUUAUUUCCUUUAAUAUGAUGUAUCGAUAAAGAGUGGACAUUGUUAUGCCUGAAUAAGUUGAGUACUUCCAGCUGAUAUGCAGCUCAUUCUCUUAGCCGAUAAUAGUUGUAUGUUUCACAGACGUUGCAAGUAUCUAGAAACCCAUUGAUUUGGGAUCGUAUACAUCAAUUUGGAAUGCAUAGUAUCAUGUGUGCAUUUGAAUACACUUCUAAAUUCCAUUCACGUUAAAAUGUUUCUCUGCUGUUAACAUGCUAUAUUAUUAAGAUUCUUUCACAGCCUCACCAGUAGUAUGUUAAAGUUGUCGAAGUUUUGUUAUCUACUUGUCUAUUUAUCCAUUAAGUGUCAACUGCAAGUUACCAGCACUAUUCUUAUGUUUCAUAAAGAGAAUUUUGCUCGAUGUAACAUGCCUAAUUGCUUAGCAUCUUCAUUUUAUCACUUCUCCAACUUUAGGUAGAUAAUUUUAUCUCUCUUAUCUCAUUUAUAUAUGUAGAUGAAUAAGCUAGUAUAACUGCCUGUGCUCCGUAAUAUAUUUUUCUCAUCCUUUCAUCUUGCACAAAUCAUUAAACUAAUUUCCUCUUGUUCUGGUGAAACAUAGGGGCUACAAUUCAUUAAUCAGUUAGGGGAGGCUCUUCAUUCAGUCAACUCGAAGUCAAAUCUCAACCAUCAGUUAGAAUUGAUCUAUGUCAUCCCACCCUCACAUUCAGAGAAGCUCAGUUAUCAUGAUUUUGGUCCACAAGAUCUUCAGCAGCUAGGUACUGCUGUGGACGGCUUUUCUCUUAUGACCUAUGACUUCUCAGGGCCACAAAAUCCUGGUCCAAAUGCUCCUUUGAAGUGGAUACGCGCUUCUCUCGAAAUGCUUCUUGGUGGUGCUGACUCUGAACAUGCUCCCAAGAUAUUCCUUGGUAUCAACUUCUAUGGCAAUGACUUCGUUCUCUCUGGAGGUAAACGUUUGCUAUUUUGGCCUGAGAAUAGAUUUUGAAAAUGUAAUAGUUGUUCCUUCAGAGACGUGUUGCAGUGAGAAAAGGACAAUCACAUGACAUUCAACAAGAUUAAUUUUGACCAGAAAACCUUUUACUCUCUUUUUCCUUCUUUUCUAUGAAUUUUCCGCUCUAGAAACGUAAAAGACAAAUCCCAGGCACGGAAAUUUCCUUAAUAGAGUGGCACAAAAAUUUGGAUUGAUCGAUUUACUACUGUUAAUCUUUUAUCCGGCAUGUUUGACUUGAAUGCAAGUAAAUAAUGCAUUCUACAUUAGAUGAUUUGACUAUUGUUGGUUCCUUCACUAUUCUGUGGCACGCAAUACUGCUUGUAUCUAUAAUUACUCAUUUCGUGACCGACUGUCACAACGAUAAAAACUUGGAAGCCUAUUCAGAGCAUGUUUAAUUGAUGUUCCUACAGGGAAGAAAUCAAUCGCCUUAUAAAUACAUGAAAAGAAAACCUUUACUUGCUUCAGUGAAUUUAUCAUUAUGAAUCUCUGAAUGGUUUCAGGUGGAGGAGCUAUCACUGGGAGGGACUACAUCUCCUUGCUGGAGAAGCACAAACCAAAGCUGCAGUGGGAGGAGAAAAGUUCAGAGCACUUCUUCGUAUACUCACUUAACAAUGUGAAGCAUGCCGUGUUUUAUCCAUCAUUGAUGUCUAUUUCCUUGCGGUUGGACGAAGCGCGAGCGUGGGGGGCAGGUCUCUCGAUUUGGGAAAUCGGGCAGGGCUUGGAUUACUUCUUUGAUCUUCUCUAAGUUUCUCACCUUUCCAUUAGGGCGUUUUGUUCGCAGAAACUGUAACUUAAUCAUGAGUCUCAUUUUGUUUUGACUGUUGAUAUGUCUUCUAUUUAUUACCAAAUAGUCCUAAUUAAGUUGUGUAAAUUGUGCAGCAAAUAGCUUUUCAAAAUUUGUAUUUACUCUUGGCUAUUAGGUUGGAUUUUUUUCUUCUUUCUGCGAAAGACACCUUAAUACUCAGCUAUUUGCUACUUACUAGCCCAUAAUGAUUCAUGGUGGUCUCCUAUUUUGGAGUGUUUGAUUGUAGGUUCUUUAGUAUCAUGAAUGGAAAUUUGAGAAUAUGUACUUGCCAAUCCUGUUCUUCUUAUUUCCUUUUCUUUUAGAUUGUCUCUGUGGACCACACUAACGCAUCCUAUUUCUGAUGAUGAAGUGGGAUACAAAACGGAAACCUCGUGCCCGAUAUAUAUAGCAUGCUUAUCAAUUUCUCUAAACAGUAGAGGUUGUGACUUAUUUACUUGAUUUGUCAUAAAAUGUAUUAAUGGAUUUGUCAAUAAUUUAUACAUUUAUUUAUAUUUUCGACUGUAAAGCAUAUGCUUUUUUUUUUCCGUCGCUUCAAUUUAAUAUAUUAUUAUAUUAAAUUUGAUUGUAAUUGUUCUUUAUCUGUAUUGAGAGCCUAAAUACAUCAUUUAAGGGCCCGUAUACCUUUUAAUCUGCGCAAAAUAUGUAAAUGUUUUCUGAAUAGGAAAUUUUUUUUUUUUUUACAAGAGCAAUACUACAUAUAGAAUCUAAAGCGAGAUGUACAUCUUUCAUCCAUUUUUAUCCAAAACUGUUAAUACUUUACUUAUCAUAUUAAUUUUUUAAAAUUUUUGCUAAAAAUUACUUGCUAGGAUGGAGGAAGUAUAGAAAGUAUUUUCUUUUUUUUUACAAAAAAUACUAGGUCGAUUUCCAAAACACGUCCCUUCAUUUCAAAUUACACUAAUGCGCACAAUCUCGCUUAGUGGAGGGUACAUACGCAAAUAAUAUUUCUCGGGGCACUAAUAUGCAAAAUCCUCUGAAAAUAUCCACAGGGGUUUUUGUUUCCCCAAACCCUCCAUUCCUCGUGCCGAGAACACAAAAGGGUGCUCAACCCCAAUCUCCUCUUCUUCAAAGUUCAAACACCUUCACUUCACUUCAUGGUAUGCUCCUCUCCCCUUCUCUAAUCAAAUUUAUAUAUAUUUUUUUCCCCUUUUAAUCAACUAAAAUUUUUUCUUAAUACCACCAAUUUUUUCCUCCAAUUAAACCAUUUUUAUGGAUCCAAAACUCCUCUCUCUCCCAAGAACACCAUCUCCAACCCCUUUCCCCCUUUUCCUCUCUUACCCAAAUUCCUCUUCCAUCAAUCUCCACAACCCAACCUUAUCCUCAAAAACCCAUCUUUCACUUUCCCUUACAGCCCCCAAAAAGUCAUCUUUUUGGGGAAAAACCCUUCCUUUCCAUGGGAAGAAGCCACUGCUCCUCCUGCAGAAGAAGAAAACGCAUUUGCCCUUACACCCAGUAUCAGCUGUUGUGAAGAGGAGAAAGGAGGCCCCUUUUGAUAAUGUCAUACAAAGGGAUAAGAAACUGAAGCUGGUGUUGAAGAUUAGGAACAUACUUGUGAACCAACCUGAUAGGAUUAUGAGUUUGAGGGAGUUGGGAAGGUAUAGAAGAGACCUCGGGCUCACGCGGAAGCGCCGAUUCAUCGCUUUACUGAAGCGGUUUCCGGCCGUUUUCGAUAUAGUGGAGGAGGGCGUCUACUCGCUGAAGUUUAGGCUUACGCCCGAGGCGGAGCGGAUUUAUCUCGAGGAAUUGCGGGCGAAGAAUGAGAUGGAACAGUUGCUGGUCGUGAAGCUGAGGAAGUUGCUGAUGAUGUCCUUGGAUAAGCGAAUUCUCAUCGAAAAGAUUGCCCAUUUGAAGACGGAUCUCGGUCUCCCUCCCGAGUUUAGGAACACUAUAUGCGAAAGAUACCCUCAAUACUUCAAGGUGGUUUCGACCGAUCGUGGCCCGGCGUUGGAGUUAACUCACUGGGAUCCUGAGCUAGCAAUCUCGGCUGCUGAGGUGGCGGCGGAGGAGAAUAGGAUUAGAGAGAUUGAGGAGAGAGAUUUGAUCAUAGAUAGGCCUCCUAGAUUCAAUAGAGUGAAGCUUCCUAGAGGUCUAAAUGUCUCCAAGGGAGAAAUGAGGAGGAUUUUGCAAUUCAAGGAAAUGCCGUACAUAUCCCCGUACUCGGACUUCUCCGAGUUGAGGUCAGGUACCCCUCAGAAGGAAAAACAUGCUUGCGGGGUCGUUCACGAGAUACUUAGCCUUACUCUUGAGAAGAAGACGCUUGUUGAUCACCUCACGCAUUUUAGGGAAGAGUUUCGGUUCUCGCAGCAGGUGCGAGGAAUGCUGAUUAGGCACCCUGACAUGUUCUACGUGUCUUUGAAAGGCGACAGGGAUUCGGUGUUUCUACGCGAGGCUUACAAGGACUCUCAGCUCAUUGAGAAGGAUAAGUUGUUGCUGUUGAAGGAGAAGCUGCGUGCGCUUGUCGCUGUCCCGCGAUUUCGCGGAAGGGGGGCGGGAAAGAGUGAUGAAAAGGAUAAAGACGGCGAGGCACUGGAAGGACGAGAUGGUGAAGAAGAUGAAGAAGAUGAUGGCGAGCAUGAUGAUGAUGAGGAAUGGUCAGAUAUCGAUGAUUCGUUGCUGAAUGUCUUGGGAAGCGAAUUAGAGAAUGUUGAUGAGGAUUAUGAUGAAGGAGGUGAUUGGAGCGAUGAUGAUGAAAAGGAAGAAUCUCCACCACAUUUUCAUGAUGGUGAGAGCAUAAGUUUUCAAGAAAGCAAACCGCAUAGGAGUAGUGUCUCGAAACCUACUGAUGACAAAGUGCUUGUUCCCAUGUUUCCGGACGGUAGGCUGAGGGACAGGUGGUGAAAAAUUUAGUUGUGUUGACUGAUCGAAGCCUUUGCUGCAGAGUAGAAAAGGGACAAUGCUGAGUUUGUUCUUUCGCAUAAUGCUUCAAUCGUAGGUGCAUGCAAGACUAAACUGUCGCUGAAAUAUUGAAACGAGACAAGAAAUUGAACAAAUUGAGAACUUUUGACAUGUCAGGAACCUGUAUCUUUGCUUGUGGGUAGGAGUUGUAUUCUUUUCACAGUGCAAACAAAUUAUGGACUUUUUUUGUUGUCUUUUACAUAUACUAUUGUGGUUCUUCCUUUUAAGGGCUUUUAUGUAGCUUUUUUCUCUUGCAUAACUUUUCAGAUAUUUAGACAGUACUGCCAUGUUUGAUAUUCUAUAUUCUCACCUCAUAUUGCUUUAGGGUAUGUUAAGCUUUGUGUUCAUUAAUUUUUUGUUUUUCACACCGCAGAUGGUAUUUUGUUUUGUGGAUCAGAUACUAUACUGUGCUUGAGAAAAUAGGUGAUCAAUCCUUAAUUCUCUUUCUGCGUGAACCUUAGAAAAUGAGUUAACUUCAUCAAUCAUCUGAUAGUUUCUUUACAAAGAUAACUACACUCAAUAAUGUCAAAAAAGGUUUUCUUCAUUUUAUGAAUCAUGUUAGAUGAAGGAUUUCUUUUUAAAAAAAAGUGCUUUAUCUCCUGCUGUUUGAUCCACUGUGGGCCGAAUUUCAUUCUUACUGCAUCAAAUUCCAGUGAAUUUUUCUUUAGGUAUGAAUGCUGCAAACUAACAUUUCAGAUGACACCAUAUGUAGACAAUAUGAACAUAGUUCAAGCUCGUAUAUGAACUGAAUACUUAUUAAAUGCCGAUGAAUAUUUUCUAAUUCACAGAUUCAUCAGCUUUAUAAACUAUAGUACAAACAAAGUUACACAUGAGGUCUACAAAUUUACUCAAUUUCAGAGUAAAAUUUGCAUGUGAUCAUUUGCGACUAUGAUAUCCUGUAAAAUGAUAUACAGAACAAAAAGCUACAAUAAUUGGAAAUUAAAGAGAGGCACAAAUACAAUGUGUCUAAAAAUCAAACAUAUCUACGGAGGUAGUCGACCCGAACGGGAUGUUUGAGCUUCAUAAGUGCUUUUAGUUCAUGCUUACGGACCAUCUCUCUCGAAAUAUUGAGGUUCCCUGCAAUCUCUCCCAAAGUUCUGUUGCCUUUGCCGUCGAGUCCAUAUCUUUGUCUUAUAACCAGACUUUCUUUAGGUUUAAGUGAAUCUAGCUGCAGAAAAACAUCACUCAGUGAGAGAACUUGCAAGCAUCAAUAUCAAAUUACUCAAAUUCGCAAGCAAAUCAAAUGAACCAUAUAAUGAAAAUUCUGCUAGAUCCUAUUUGAACUAUUUCUUGAGAAGAACAAUGUUUCAGCAAUUUGUUUAUCUUGACAUUUACCACAUCAUCAAGAGCAAGUCGAAGAAGUGCUGCAUGUCGACGUUUAUCGCCACUGAUACCAUCAAUAUCGGUUAUCCCCUUGAUGAACUCUUCUUGUGUCACAGCAUGCCUGGAGUUGAGGGAUAUGACUGGUUUUGAGGCCUUGAUGAUAUCAUUGUAUCUCUCUGGUGAUACUCCUACUCUCCCAAUUAUUUCUUCCUCUGUUGGUGACCUCUCAAGUUCAAAUGACAACUUUAGUUUGGCCUUCUGGAUCUCUUGCCUAAUCUGCAAUGUCCAGUUAAGAGUGAUUAUUAAACCAGGCUCAGGUUCUUAACAUUCUGAAUUACACAAUUAUUCAAGAAUCUCAGCAAUUUAAUGCAUUUUUUUUUUUCUGAAAACAAAAGGGACGAAGAUCAAAUUCUUGCCCCAAAAAAAACAAGUUUCUUAACCAGAAUUAGUUCAAAUACAGAGAAUCAAGAAGGAAAUCAUAAACAUCAGAUGAAAGUAAAGAGGACCUACAAAAUAAUAGAUUGCAGCAACUAAAAUAACCUUGAGGAUGAUGAUAACUAGUUGAUCACAAAAUUUUAUGAUGAAAAGGGGGAAAGCAGCAGGAAAAACCCCAAAAAUGGCAAACUUAUCUUUUAAUGUUAAAUAGAAAAGCCAAGAUAAUUUUUUUCUCCAAUUUACGUAGUUUGUCCCUGACACUCAUCUAACUAAUGAUUUCCAUAUAUUACACUAAUACAUCAAUCACAACGCCGACAGUGAAAUUAUUACACACAACUCCAAUCAGCUCUAAUAGGCUAUCCUUAGUAUGCAGCAUAGAUUGAAAACCCAAAUACUCAAACACAGAAGUUGCCUAUAAGAAUCGUAGAAUCUCUUUUCUUUUCUUUUUUUCUAAGAGAUGAAGAAUCUUGAAAUUUUCUGUGUUUAUUCUUAGAAAGUAAGAAGGAAGCUCAUACCGACUCGAUUCCAAAGGGAACCUUGGUGAAGCUUGAGAGCGUCAUCGACCGUAUUAUGGAAUGACGGAUCCAGAAGAGGCCAUAUGUGGAUAGACGGAAGCCGCGCUUCUGUUCAAAUCGAUCGAUGGCUGUUAUCAGACCCUUUACACCGGCUUGGCAGAGGUCUUGGAACUUCUGGCCACUUGCGAUCUCUGGAAAGUAUUUGUUGAUGACAAACAACACUAACCGAAGAUUAUGCUGCAAAAGGUCCGAUAGAACAUAAUCGGUCUUCAACUCGUGGCAAUUAAAUAGAUUAACUUAAUUUGAAAAAUAAAAGGAAGCAUCAUGCUGAGAAAAUUAACUUUGGCGUAUGUAUAUUCAAAGCACAUUAAUGAGCAACAAUAGAAAUGUAAACUAUCAAAAAGCUUUAAACUAAAAUUACACAUUGUUCUAGCUAAAAAAGUUAUAUUGAACUAUGUAUGUAAUAAUUUAAACAGCAAAAUAAAUGCGUAUAACUUGAAAAUUGAUAGUUAGAAAUGAACUAGUUACAGAUACCUUUAUUAGCUUGUUUCUUGCGGCCCGACCAACCUCUACAUGUUGUCUCAACCGCGAAACCCUCAUGUUCAUUGCCGCUGCCAUUUCACUGUCAGUCGGCUCCCUGAGCAGAUCUUUGUGCAAGCUCUCCUUCAUCUCGUAAAUCACCUAUGUUUUAACGGUAAAAGAAAAGAUCAAACAGUAAAUAAUUUGCAAAUAAGCAGUUCAAAGUAGUUUUUCAGAUUGCGAGAUUGUCAAAUGAAGCUAUAAACUACUUAAGGGUGAUCUCAUCAUCAACAAAAAGCAACCAUUUUGGUUUUAGUUUUCACCAACACAAUUCUGAAGCCUAGUAGAUGUAUUAAAGCUAUUAUUGUUCAUUUUGCGUAACAUGAUAUCAGAACCAGUAGUACUUAGCACCAUUUGUUCCCGACGACAUUCAUCAUCUAAUCGAUUAUAUUCAUAUCCUUUGCCUCCCCUAUCAAUGCGAACACGUAAGCAGAGAUGUUAACACUGUUCGUGCUUCGUCUCGUACAAUUCUCAACCAAAAAGCAAAGGAGGAAGAUAAAAAAUAAGAACGAGGAGGCUCACCUUCAUCGGCUGCAUCAGCUCGAACAGCCUCGAAUGCUCCGCCGAACCGAGCACCGGCGGUAUCCUCAUCCUCCUCCAGUCCAAGCACGCCAAAUCCAUCGACGCCGAGUUGUCCCUCACCAGCUCCUCCACAUCCCCACCGUGCUCCCUCCUUUCACCCUCCCCCUUCCCCCUCCUCAGCGCCACCCUCUUCUCAAGGCUCAACCUUUUCGCCCUCCUCCGCCUACUCCUCACUACGCCCGCGUCCCCGUCGCCCCCGCCUAAGCGCUCCUCGUCGGAGACCUCGCCGGGGCUCAGCUUGUAGAUGUUCUCGAGCGCCGCGGCCAACUCGUCGUAGUCCAACUCCGGGGCGCAGGGAGGAGCAGGAGCAGGAGCGGCGCGGGGGGGGGCGUUUGCUCUGGUCGGGGCCGGGGAAACCAGCGUCGAACACCUGGUGGGCCGGUUCGAGCCGAGGGCCAGGAAGAAGAUGAGCGGCCGCCGCAGCGGCGGNUGAGCGGCGGGAGGAGGAGGCUGCGGCGCCGAGCGGUGCCGGGGGAGCCGCGGCGGCCGCUCCCAUGCCCCUGCGCGCGCGCGCGAAUCUGGGAGCAGAGGGGAUUGCGGUGGACGGUGGGGAUCGCGUGGCCGCCGCGGGUUCCGACGUUGAGAGCUCGUGUAACAGUAGAGGGGGUGGAACUGUGGAACUGUGGAAGAUCGUAAGCGGGUGGUAAAUGGCUACCACAAGCUCGUCGUGGGGCCCCAAUGGGAUCGGACGGUUGAGAUGUGCUUUUAAAAGGAUGGAUCGAACGGCCGAGGAUUUACACGACGUGGGCAUCGCGGGGAAGAGAGAGGCGGGUGGGGGGAGAGAUAUAUAUUAUAUUUAUAUUUUAGGGGGAGAAAAGGUAACCCGUGGAUGGCGUUGUUGGCACGUGGAUGACUCUGAUUCGUCGACCGAUAUUUCUGGGAUCCACGUGUGGGGCCCGUUACACUUACAGGUGGAUGAUAAAAUUGUGUGUUCUCCGCGCGACGCUUUCUUUAUGGCUUUUUGUGAGGCUGACAUGUGGGGCCUGAGAAUAUAAGAUUGGGUUAUUUAUAUAUACACCCGGCGUAAUCAUCUGUUUACACUCUUUUUAAUAUUAAGUAUAGUUUGUUUAAAAAAUAUUCUACUUUCAGAAGGUUAAUAACACAAUUUUCUAAAUUUUGAUAGAUUCAUCAAUAAUUCAAAAUUUUUGAAAUAUUUUCUUAAGUGUCGUCCACAGCCCAUGGGAGAGGAUAAGAAAAUCACGAGUAGCUUAAUAUCAUUUACACCCCGGAUUUUUUUUUUUUUUUCAGAAAGAGAAAUGCGGCAAAAGAGUGAUAUAAUUAAUGUGGGAGCAAUAAAGAGGAUCUAAAGUACAACCUGUAACAUUCACAAAGGAAUCUAUGAAAUAGACAAAGAAUCAAAUCGAACCAAGUAUUAGAAGUGGAGUAGUACUCUGUACGCAACAGGUAAAUAGACCACGGUGAGAGAUGAGAUUGUACAAGGGUUGAUCCUUAUUCCUUAGGCCACUGUUUGAUUCGGGGUUAAGUAAAAAUUUAUUAUUUUAGGAAUAGAGUUAAAUUCAGGAUUAAGAUAAGGUUAGAGUAAUUUUGUGUUUGGUUGAGAAUUUGGUUUAGUCCAGGUAAAGAUAAAAUAGUGUUUGGUUGGAAUAGGUGGGAUAAAAAGGAUAAUGGAUAAAAUAGUAUUUUAUUUGGUUGGAGUAGUGGGGUGGGGUGGGGUUAGCUAAUCCCACCCAAAUGGGCUAUUCCGGAAUAGCCCAUUUGGGAUGAGGUUAGUUAACCCCACCCUCCAAAUUAGGUGUUUGGAAAUAACUUCGGGGUUAAGGGGUUAUUCCACUCCUUAACCCUGAAUCAAACGCGUGCUUGGAGUGUAAAACAAACCGAGUUGCCACCAGUCCAGUUCGGUCCUGUCCGGUCCGGCCCGGCUCAGCUCCUAACAAGCCUAUGGCCCGACACGACAUUGCUCAUGCCCUAAUGUGCGGUCUGUACUGUCCCGUGCCGAGUCUUGCAGAUCUACGACCCCCGCAUGGCACGACCCAUCUGAGCCGUGCCUAAUGGGCCGACUUAUCUUGGCCCAGUAGAUUUUCCUUUUAUAUUUUGUAUUUUUUGUAAAUAUAAUUAAAGUUAUUAUAUAUAUAUAUAUAUAUAUAUAUAUAUAUAUANAUAUAUAUAUAUAUAUAUAUAUAUAUAUAUAUAUAUAUAUAUAUAUAUAUAUAUUAAAGUUUAAAAUAAAUGGUUAUAUAUUUUACAAGUAAUGUUAAAUAAAUUAAGUGUAAAAUAAAAUUUUUUCUUUCAGUUAACUCUCCGACUUUCGACUUUUGGUAUCCUAAUGGUCUCGUCCAUAUCUGAUUCAUCCUUCAAAACCAUAUCACAUCCUAAUGAUCCAGGAAGCAAUUCUGAUUCAUCCUUAAUUAGGAACCAUAUUACAUCCUAAUAAUCAAUGACGCAAUCCUGGACGUGAGGAAUUACUGAUUUAUGGAUUGGAUUUCACUUGACUUAUCAAUUCUAGUGGCUUUUGCUAUUAUGACCUUCCCAACCACGGAGAACAAGCUAGCUCUCGAUUCAAGUGGCAUUAGAGUGGAUUCGGUGUAAAAGAGAUAGAUCAAUUCAAGCAUGAGAUAAUGACAUUUUUUGGCUUCUCCAUAAUAUUGAAAAAGAAAAAAAUUUUAAAUACCAUCCUUGUAAUUUUGCACUUUCUCACUUUGGUGCUUUAUUAUUUAAAGUGUAUUAAUUUAGUACCCAAUGAUUUUAUCUCUCUUUUUAUUAUUCGUUUUAUUAAUUUUUUUAGUAAAGUUAAAACUAAAGUGUAUUAAAGUGAAUAUUGGAUAAACCUAAAUGGGAUAUAUAAAACUUUUUGUAUAUAAUUUAACGAAAUAUUAACGAAGGGGCUAACGAAAAGUGAAAAAUAAAAUCACAUGACACUAACUUGAUACAUUUUAGACCACAGGAUACUCAAGUGGAAAAAUGUGAAAUUAUAGGAAUAAUAUUUAAAGUUUACUCUUAAAAAAAUGCAAUGCCCUCUCUAUAAGAAGUUUAAGUUGCGCAAAUAUUAAAAAAAUCACUAACUAGAUUGUGAAUUUUGGUAAUUAGAAAUGUAACUAAUCCUUGGCAGCAUGAUUCAUAGAGAAAUAGGCAUAGAAGUAGGGGUGUCAAACGGGCCGGGCGGCUCGCAGGCUGCCCCGCUCCGCACUAGAGCGGACCGAGCCAGGCAUGACACGAGCACUGUAGCAUUCGUGUCGGACUGGGCCGGCCAGUUAAAUCGGGUUGUGCUGCGCCUUGGUCUCACGGUGCGGUGGCCCGGCACGACAUGGGCCUAGGCCGUGCUGAGCCUGAGGGGAUGCCACGGCCCGGCCUGGCACGGCACAGCCAGGCCCGUGUGGGAAGUGCCUCCCGAGCUGGACGCAGGCAAACAACCCAACUCCCAAAGCCCCCUUGGGAGAUCGGCCUAUUGAACUAAAAUGUCCUUCCCAACUGUCAAAAAUUUGACCGUUGGGAGGGUAUUAUGGUCCACAAAAUUUAAAAUUUUAAAAUAAUUUAAAAUUUUAAUAUUUUUAUAAAUGUAUUUCAAAAUUUUAAAUUAUUUUACUUAUAUAUUAUUUUUUUUAAAAAAAUAAUAUUUUUAUUUUUAUUUUUUAAAAAUUUUAAAUAUUUUUAAAUAAAAUUAAUAAAAUAAAAAAAGGCUGGCUCGAAGCCCGGCCCGGCCCGUACAAUCCGGGCCGAAGUGCCGUGCUCGGCUGGGGUCUAAAAACUUUGGCUCGGCACGGCACGGCACGGCACGACCCGACUUUGGGACCGGGCUGUGCCGGACUGGCCUUCGGCCCGUUUUGGGCCGGGUAAAUGUGGGCCGUGUCCCGGCAAGGCUUACAGUACAUCUCUAAGUGCACCAAAUGAAACAUCGUUUUUGAAUCUACAUACAGUAAAAACUGCAAUACAGACUUGCUCCCUUGUGUAAUCGAGUAAUCUUUAACUAGGAUUAAUUUGAUCAUACCAAUUUAUAGGAUAAUAUAAAAAUAAAAAAAUAUCUAUUAAAAUUUUGGAUUAGUUGCAUACAAUUCUGUGUAAAUAUAUCGAAUAGCAAAUAUAUCCUUACAAAGUUCAACUUUUAUUUUUAUCUCUACAAAAAUCUUGCCGUUUUCAAAUAUAUCCCUGCUGUUAGGACCCGUUAGAAAAAAAUAAUUAACUAUGAGAAAAAUACGUAACCAUGGUUAGUGAAUCAGUUAAAUUGAUAUUUUUAUUGUUGGGAAUCCAGUACUCGCCCCGGUACCGGAUCUUGUGAAUCCGCAACCCGCUCUGAUACCGACUGCUGUGGAUUCGGUACCGAUUGUUGGGAUUCCGCAACGGAAGCGUCGAAUCGGGUUUUUACCAUAAACCCGUCUCCUCAGCAGAUGCCGAUACAAUCAUAAAAGAGAAAAAUAUGCAGGUAAAAUAAGAUUCAUUAAAUAAGAGAAGAUUACACCUGACUCCUCUUCUGCACAGAGUAGCUACAACCCGAGCCCUCUCUCUGAAUCUCUCCUACCCUUCUCUCGUCUUCUAUACUCCCAGAAGACAUCUCUUUCAUCCUGUGCAUCCGUGCACAAGGUAUACCAAUGACCCACGGCUACGAAAGCCGCACACGUCCUCUUGCACCCAUGCACUAGGUGCAACCAAAAUCAUGACCAUAUUGGUCAUGCCAUAUGGGUGUGGCUAAUCCAUACCACCACCACCCUUCUCUCUUUUUUUCUCUCUCUGGUACGGCACCCAAGAGGCCUUUUCUCUCUUUCCCGUACUCACCCUCAAAAGCAAACCCAUAAAGAGCUAUUUAUAAGGCUCCACUAAAACGCACCUCAAUCCUAAUAUAUUUAGGAUUUCUACUCCAAUUAAUAUCUAAAUCUAUCUUAAUUAAUCUCUAAUAGAUUUAAAUAUUAAUCCUAAUCUAGUUAGGUUUAUCCUCUAAUUAAUAUUUAAAUCUUAAUUUAUCUGAAACAGAUUUAAAUAUUAAUUCUAAUCCAAAUAGGAUUCAAUUACAAAUCUAACCAAAUCCUAACAUUUAUCUCUUAUAUUAUUAGGUAAAAUACUUUUUUGAGAGGAUAUUUCUGAAUAAUUCUAACGAUUAGGACUUUUAAUUUAGAGGGAUAUAUUUUUAAGGACAAAAAUGUCAUUUUAUUUAAUUACUGUGAAAAAAUAAAUAGUAUUUUAACGGUAAGAAAUCAGAGAGGCAAAUACGAAUAUCACAUUGCAGGAAGGAAAAUAAAAAAUUAAAUUUUAUAAAAAUAUAUUUGUUAUUCAAUAUAUUUAUAAAAAACUAUAUGCAAUUAAUUCUAAUUUUUUAAAAAAGCUUCUAUAUAUAAAUUAUGUAUUUAUUAAUUUAUUGCUGUGUUUGGUACAAAAUUGCUUUCAUCGGCUAGGGCCGCUAUGCUGUCACCAGAGCUUUUUGUUACAUUAUUGAGUGACAAAGAAACUAUUUUGUUUUCAUUCCAAAAUGGUAUUUUUAUUAUUGAUAAUAAAACAUGCAGUGAUAAUUAUUUUGAUCAUUCUAGUAACGUAUUUUGUAAUAAUUACACCAUAUAUACGAACUUAUACUAAUGAUAUUCUCGGUGUAGUUAUUGCACGUACCUGAUGGAUCGUAUGUUGCUCUCUUAAAUUUAAAUUAUAAAGAUUUGAAAAUUGGAAUUUGAAACUUUACAUAUAAAUAAAGUUUUUUAUAAGUAAGUUGGGCUUUAUAUUUAGAUUGGACUAAAAUUUAAAUAAUAAGAAUUUAUAUUUUAUGUAUUUAAUUACUUAUAUAUAUAAAUAUAAAAUUAUAUAAAUUAUAUAAAUAUAAAAUAAAUGUAUCUAGUUGUUAUCGAGCCGAACAUGAACGAGCUGAUACCAGUUCGUGCUCGACUCGUUUAUUAAAUGAGCUGAAAAUUUCAGAUCGUAUUCGGCUCAUGUUACUAAACAAAUAAUUCAAUCUCGUGUUCAUUUAGAAUCGAGCACGAAAUGGCUCGCGAACGAGCUGAAUUGCUACCCCGACUUAAAAAAAAAUGAUUUAUUAAACUAUGUGAUAAAAUUUUAAAAAUAUAAUCGUCAAAAUUAAAAUUUCAUAUAUGCCCGCUUGCAAAAGAUUUAAAAGUUUUUAGGAGUUCUCUCUACUUUUUUUUUCCAAUUUUUUUUUAUUCUAUUUCGUGUAGUAUAAUUGAUGUAGAUACAUCAACAUACGCAAAGCAUGCAACAUAAGUUUUAUCUUUUACAUAGAAAGUAUCUGCGCUGAUUAUUUUACAUAAUUUUCAUUUUUAGUAGACAAAAAUGCGUGUACCCAUUUUAGAUGUUAUGAUCAUGACAAAGAUUAGAGUUCCCCUUCUUUUAGACCAUUUUCUUAAGUAUUGCUCCGAAUUUAAUUAUGAACUCCUCAGAUUUUUUUUUUCUUCUUUUUUGAGAGAUAGGUAGCACGUUAUCCACUUCGUUUAUUUCAUUUAGAAAUAAAUUUAGUUAGAAGAAUGAAUCAACUAUGAUUCAAACUUGAAUCUCGAAUACCAACCAUCAAAUUUUUUGCCACUUGCUCUAUAGAUGGUACGGUAACUCCUGACAACUUGUUGAAACAAACAGUUUGCCAUUUGUUUCUACAUAAAUUACGGAGGAAGCACUAAACACAAACUGCAUAGCUUUACAAUGUGGUUUCCUAACUAUUCUCUUUGAAUAGAUUUAUUUAAAAAAAAAAAAACAAAACUAUCUCUACACUCUAGAUUUAGUGCGCUCUCUUUUACCUACGAUCUAACGAUUUAAAAAUCUCUUUCAAGAUUUUUAUAUUAAUAAAACAAUUGUUGAAAUUAAUGUGAAAUUAUUAAAAUUUGAAUGAGUAGAAUGUAAAAUUUAAACUCUAAUUUUGGAUGUACAAGUAUUUACUAUAAACCAAAAAAAAAAAAAAGAAAAAGAAAAGAAAAGAAAAGUGACCGAUGUACUAACUACUAACUCUUCAAGUACAAAAGUGCAAUUCUUACUUUCUUCUUCUUUGCAAAUAGCCCCAUAUAUAGUUUCUCCUCCUCGCGUCUCAUUUGAGGACGCACGGAGCCAUGAACAGGGCGAAUGCGAAGCUCGGUUGUGCCCUCGCCAUGGUUUUGGGCUCUGCGCUCCUCGUCGCCUUCUCCCACUCCGACGCUUCCGAAGCCGAGAUCGUGAGAUCCGUAGCUGGGAACAAGUUGAAGAGAGGUGCAUGCGCCAUUACCUAUUUACCUUCGUUUAAUUUGUGUUUUUUUUUUUCCUUCUUUUUUUUUUUUUUUUUUUUUUUAGAAAGGGCGAUUCGAUUUUUCUUCUUAAUGUGGUUUAGUUUAUUUUAUGUUGUUGCAUUUUUAUUCUUCAAUGUGAAAAUUUUAAAUGUNUUUUUUUUAGAAAGGGCGAUUCGAUUUUUCUUCUUAAUGUGGUUUAGUUUAUUUUAUGUUGUUGCAUUUUUAUUCUUCAAUGUGAAAAUUUUAAAUGUCAUACUCUAUGCAAAUUAACGAAGUUACAACUUCACUUACCUUACAUUCAUUAUAAAUCUCUAUAACCUAUAUAUAAUAUUGUUGAACCUACAUUAAAAAAGAAUUAAUUUGCUAUACUAUUUUAUAGUAAAUUUUUUUAGAUAAAGAUAGAAAUAAACAUUAUAAAAUAAUUAAGUGUAUUUUUUAAAACUAUAAAAUGAUAGAGUAAAAAUAAGGUGAACUAUUUGCAGGCAAAUUAAUCUUUAAAAGAAGCUUAGACCUGAUUUGGCAUCAUUACCGUUAUAUAUUUUAAAACAAUAAUUAUAUAAAAUUUGAUACACCGGUAAAAACAUUACAGGUUAAUUAUUCCGGCCAAAUAAUAAGUAAUAGCUUUGUAAAAGGGGUAUUAGGCAAUUUUUUUUUUUUUUUUUUUGAGAGAUAAGUAGUAUGCUACCGUUUCGUUUAUUUUGUUUAGAAAUAAAUUUAGCUGGAAAUGUGAAUCAACUAGGAUUCGAAUUUGGGUCUCAGAUAUUAACCACCAAACUCUUUGCCACUUGCUUUAGAGACGACCGAUAGGCAAAUUUUUAUUUAUCUCUCUUUUAACAUGUUCUGCAAUCGUAUGAAACGUGAUGCAGAGCAAUGCGAUCUCUUCGCCGGGGAAUGGCUCCCGAACCCUUUCGGGCCGGCUUACACGAAUGCGAGUUGCAAAUUGAUCGAAUUUACUCGAGAUUGUUUGACAAACGGGCGACCCGAUACAGGUUACCUCUACUGGAGGUGGAAACCAUUUGGUUGUGAAUUACCCAAAUUUGAUGCAGGGAAAUUCUUGGAUUUAAUGCGAAAUAAAGCUUGGGCGUUUAUAGGUGAUUCGCUUCUUCAGAAUCAAAGAGGGUCACUGCUUUGCCUUCUCUCUAAGGUGCUGCAUUAAUUUCUCGUAUAUCCUAUCUUAAAUCUUUAAACUUUAUACUAUAUUUACAUCCUCGCUCGCAUUAUUUAAGAAAAAAAUCAGAUGAUACUAACUAAACUUAUAUAUGCAUCUUUUUUUUUCCCAUCUUUUUGGACGCUAAUGCACAUCAUCAUGCACAAUUUAUAGUGCUAGUUUGUAAUAGGGGAGAGUAUGCAGAGUCUUAUAUGAGAUUGACGUACAUAUUAGUAUUAGUAUUAAUAAUUAAACUUAAAUAUUUAAAAACCGAUUGCUUAGGCCGAAUAAAUUGUUAUUUACUCUAGUAUGGUAGGUUGAUACGUACGCAUUGUUAAUUUUAAUCUGAGUCUCUACUUCCACUUUAAUUUUAAAACUUUUUUCUCAAAUUCUGUGUAGUUUCGUACCUUUUUUUUUCUUCUGCUUAACUAAUAAUUAGUCCAAACCUUGAAACCUUUUACUGUGACCCAACGCUUCACAAGAGUUACUUAGGGCCCGUUUGGAUACCUCUAAAAAUGUAGCAUAGUUAAACUAUACUACGCUAGUAGGAAAAUAAUCCUAUAAAGCGUUUGGAAGAAAAAAAAAAUGACGUAAUUUUUAGAGUAUAGUUAUACUAUACUCCAAAAAAUGGAGUAAACUUACAAUCCACUUUAACCAAAGGAAAAAAAUUUCACCAUUUUGGGCUCCCAAAGAUGUAUCAAUUUUUAAAUUUUAAAUUUCAACAUAAAAUUUUAGAUUUCAAAUUUUAAAAUUUUAAAAUUCAAAUUUAAUUUUGAUUUUAAAUUUUAAAUUUUAAAUUUCAAAUUUCAAAUUUCAAAAACUUCAAAUUUUAAAUUUUAAAUUUCAAAUUUCAAAAACUUCAAAUUUCAAAUUUCAAUUUUUAAUUUUAAAAUUUCAAAUUUCAAAUUUUAAAUUUCAAAAAGUUCAAAUUUUAAAUUUUAAUUUUCAAAUUUCAAAUUUCAACUUUCAACUUUCAAAUUUCAAAUUUCAAAUUUCAAAUUUCAAAAAGUUCAAAAUUCAAAAUUCAAAUUUCAAAAUUCAAAUUUCAAAAUUCAAAUUUCAACUUUCAAAUUUCAAAUUUCAAAAAGUUCAAAUUUCAAAUUUCAAAUUUCAAAUUUUAAUUUUAUUUUUAAUUUUUAAUUUUCAAUCUUCAAAAUUUAAAUUUAAACUUAAAUUUAAAAUUUUAAAUUUAUAAAUAUGUAAAUUUAUAAAUUAUUAAAUUUGAAAUUUAAAAUUUUAAUUAUAGAUUUUUUAAAUUUCAAAAUUUAAAGUUUAAAUGGUAUACUUUAAGUUUUAAAUUUUAAAGUUUCAAAUUUCAAAUUUGAAAUUUCAAAUUCCAAAUUUCAAAUUUCAAAUUUAAAACAUAAAAUCUAAUUUACUUUUUAAAUUUUAAAUUUUAAAUUUUAAUUUUAUAUUUUGAAUUUUUAUGUUUAAUUUUUAAAAUUUUAUUUUUAAAUUUUGAAUUUUGAAUUUUGAAUUUUGAGUUUUGAAUUUUGAAUUAUAAAAUUUUAGAAAUUUAAUUGUUAUAAAUACUGUGGAAUUGUAUGAUAUGUAUCCAAACAGCUUAAAAAUGAGGCUGUGGAAUUUUUUUGUAGUUACAGGAUUCCGUAUUUCAUUUAGACCAAAACCAUAGAAUAAAAAUUUCAUGGAGUUUUUUAACUAUGCAUCCAAACAGGGCCUUAGCCUUUUCUACUAGCUAAUAAUAGACUUUUUUAAAAUACUAGUGGCCCAAUUUGUCUAUUAAAAUUAUAUGAAAAUAUUGAAUAGAAAAGCCUAAUGAACUCCUCGGAGAGUGAGCAAAAUUGCAGGCGAAAAUUUAUUUUGUCAGAACAUGCACGUUCCCUAGGAAUAUAAAAAUUCCAGAUCCAUCAAAUUGUUUUUCCCUAUGCUUUUUGGAACUCUACCCCAUUACCUAAAAUCUUAAUUAGCAUAUAGAUAGGGGCGACCGUGGGCCGGGCCGUGUAAGUCAGGAUCGAGCCGUUGCCGGGCCCAGCACGGCCCAGCAUGCCCGGGCCAGGCAAGGUCAUGCCAUGGGCCGGCUGGGCGCGGCCGAGCACGGCCCUAAAUCCAUCUUCUCUUAUAUGAAAUCUAUGUCUCUUUAUGCGUGCUUAGGUCAUCUUUUUUGUUUGGGCAGGUAACAUGAUUUAUCUGAUCUUCAUUCUGCACAUGAUCAGCGAGCGUUUACUAAUUCUCUUGCAUACAUUGAUCUCCAGGUGGAAGAAGCUGUAGAAAUUUAUCGCGAAGCGUUUGCAUUUACAAUCUGGUACUUUCCUUCUUACAACUUCACCGUCACAGAUAUAUGCGCUCCUUUUCUGCUCAAGGCGGAAAACGAAGCAACGGAUCACACCAUGCUGCACCUCGACGCGCUCGACGCGAAAUGGACUAACAAUUACCAUAAAUACGACUACAUUGUGAUUUCCGGCGGAAUGUGGUUCUGGAGAACAGCCACAUUCCUGGAGAACAAUGCGAUUGUGGGGUGCCACAACUGCGCUGCUGCAGGACAGAACGCGACCGAAUACGGGGGCGACUUCUCGUACCGAAAAGCCCUCCGGUUGGCCUUCAGCUUCAUGCUCAGCUCCGACCACAAGCCGCUCGUUCUCUUCCGGACGUGGAACACGGAACACUAUGAGUUCGGCGGCGACGGCAUGCUGGUCUGCAACCGCACCGUGCCGUACAGAGCCGGAGAGUACGACGGGCGCCCGACGGAUCAUCUAAUGCGGGGUGUGGAGGUCGAGGAGUUCCGCAGGGCCGCCGCGAGGAGCGGGGCCCGGAUUCGGCUCGUCGACACGUUCCGGCUCUCGGUUUUGAGGCCGGACGCGCAUAUGGGACUGUACUGGUUGGUCGACCGCGACCCGGGCGACAAGACUAUGAAUGAUUGCACGCAUUGGUGCUUGCCUGGGGCCAUAGAUACUUGGAAUGAUAUAGCUAUGGAGAUUUUGAUGCGCGAAGGAGAGUUCAGGUAUUCGUCAUGAAUUGUCGAUCUCGUCGUUUGUGUUUUAGAAAAAUGUUUUACCUAAUUUUAUGCGCGCGCCCAAAUGCCGUGAGUUUAACAGUGAUUGCUCUGUUUUUCAAUAAAUAUUAGCUGUGCUGUUGUUUCGAUUUAUAACUGAUACGUUUGAUGAAAAAAAUCUCUCUCCAGGCUCUCUCUCAUGUUUUCUUCUUAGCUAGAAUUUUUUUUAGAAUGAAGCUCCAAAUCAAAUAACAAGGAUUACAAGGAUUUAAAAUCGUAAAAUUUCAAUUCUAUUUGGAAAUGAUUUUCACCGUCCAUCCGAAUUUUCGUUUUAUUUUUAGCGGUCGAUCUCCUAUUAAAGCCCUCUUUAAAAAAUUCCAAACCAUCCUUAAUCUUAGAGUAUAAAAUCAAAUCAAACUUGGGCCGAAUCCAGUUUAACUUAUUCGCCGUGUCUUAUAGUACGAGUACUAAAACAGGAGUUUUGAAACGGGCAAAUAUUGUAUGGGCAUCGUCAUCAGUUUGGGGACGAUGCCGAUGGGCGCCGCGUGGCCUGUCACCCUCCAUUGCUCUCCAUCAUCUUCUCUCUCUCUCUCUCUCUCUCUCUAAAAAAUUCAGCUGGCAAAGUUUUUUUUCUUUUUAUCCCAUCCUACUUCACUACUCCAACCAAACAAAACACUAUUUUAUCCAUUAUGCUUCUUAUUCCACUUACUCCAACCAAAUAUUAUUUUAUUUAUAUCUGGACUAAACCCAAUUCUCAACUAAAUACAAAAUUAUUCUAACCCCAUAUUAAUCCUGAAUUUAACUCUAUUCCUAAAAUAACAGAUUUUUAUUUAAUUCCGAACCAAACGAUGGGUUAGAGUAUAAAAUCAAAUCAAGCUUGGCCCGAAUCUAGUUUAACUUAUUUGUCAUGUUAGUACGAGUACUAAAACAGGAGUUUUGAAAUGGGCAAAUAUUGUAUGGGCAUCGUCAUCAGUUUGGGGACGAUGCCGAUGGGCGCCGCGUGGCCCGUCACCCUCCAUACCUCUCCAUCGCCUUUUUUUUUUUUUUUUUUUUUUUUUUUUUUCUCUCUCUCUCUCUCUUUAAAAAAAAUCAGCCGGCAAAAUUUUUUUCCUUUUUUUUCCCGUUUUCGGCCAUGUGAUGAGCACGCCUGGGCCACGUGGUGCCCAUCGGUAUCGUCCCCAAACAGAUAGUUUAGAGACGAAGCCAAUACAAAUUUGGCCCUUCCGAACUUCAUAAGCUCUGGCAUAUGACAUGUACUGGUGGUACUCACAAAAAAGUAUCAGUACUCCUCCAGCUGACAUCGUCUCCAAACUGAUAGUUUAAAGACGAUGCCCAUAUAACUUUUGUCCUUACAAAACUUUAUAAUUAAGCUCCGGCAUAUGACAUGUACCGGUACUCACAAAAAGUACCAGUACUCCUCCAGCAGCUCAACAAUAAUAAUUUCUGAGGAACUUCAGUCUGAAUGCCGAAACUCAUUGAAGUUUCGAAAUUUGGCAUACACUAACUUUAAAGUCCCGACGUUUUCACGGUGAUAUCGAUCUGCAACAUGGUUUCUCAUAAUCCAACAUUAAUUAGAUACACGUCUUGAAUCCUAGAAAAAUAAUAAUAAAAGUACAAAAAAAAAAGGAGAAUUUUAUGCUAAAUAAUUUGGUCCAAAUACUAUUAAACGGAUAAGUAGGAAACCAAGUGAAAAGCCAUACUUUGAAAUGGUCAGACAUUCUAUCUCUUCUUCGUCUUUUCUCUCUCUAUCUCUUUUCUACUUUAUGGUUCAUGUCCUUUUUGAUGGAGAUGCUGACUCGGUCUUGUAAUAAUUUUUUUUAAAAAAAGAAGCACACAAUAUUCAACUUGAUUGGAGCCCUUAAAAGGAGCAUAGUCCUUGAUGAAAAACGCAUGCAAUGCAUGUACAACCUUAAACACCACCAAGUCAAGUGCCAAUUUAUUUAUUAUUUAUUUAGUUAAAUACCAUCCCCCACUUUUUCAAGCUCCGAGGCCUACUUAUUAUUGUUUGAAAAUGGUGAACAAAAGGAGACAAGAAAAUAAUAAAAUAUAUAAUUCAAAAAAGAACAACUUCAAUCCAGUGUCUUAGAAUGUUUAAUUUUUAGAUAAAUAUUUUAUUUACGAUGUCAAAUUUUAGUUGUUGGUGUAUCCACCCAACUAAGUCGAUAGAAAACGAACCCGAAUUAGUUUUAAAAAUCUUUUUAAAAAGAAAAGAUUUAUAGCUAGCACAGGAGGUAAACAAACAAAAAGACUUAUGAUUUAUAUCCAAGAUUAGUUUAUUCAUAUUUUUAAUUAAAAUUAUUUUUUUUAAAAAAAUAAACAAAAUAAACAAUAUGCUAUAUUUUUGCAAAAACAAAGGGCACUUAGGUAAGUGUGUUUUAAUAUAUAAAUUAUAAUAAUUAUAAUAAUAUGACAAUAAACAUAAAAAAGUGUACGUUUGCCCUUUCCACACGUUUGUAGAAAGUAAUGUGUACCCCUUAAAAGCCUCUCCAACAUGUUUCCGAGAAGCGAGACGGAAGGCAGCAAGGGAACUGUGUGUAAAAUACCAUGGGGGUAAGCCUCAAGUUGUUCUUGGGUAGGGAUGCAAACGGAUCCGGGUUGGUGGAGCUCCUAUCCCGAUUUGCCCCGACGGGGGCAGUAAAUGGUAAAAAAUAAACGCAUUCGGGGCAAAAAUUGGGGUAAAUUUUAUGAUUUGAGACAGAUUCAGGGCAGGAAAAGGGAGAAAUUUUGACAUACCUCAAAUCCGCCCCGAAUCAGUCCCGAAAAUUAUUUAUAUUUUAAAAAAUAUUUUUAAAAAAUUAUGUAUUUACAAAAAAGAUCAAAAUACAAGUAAGUUAGUACUCUCAUUUCUAAUGUAUUUGAAAAUUUUGAAUUUUGUUUUGAAUUGUGAUUGAUAUUUUUGAUUUUUAUAAUUGAUAUGGUUAAAUUAUAUAUAUAAUAUUAUUAAAAAUUAUUAAUUUAUAUUUUAAAAAAUAUUAAUAAUAUUAUAAUUUUAUAAAAAAUAUUAGUUGGCGGGGCGAAUUCGCGGCGCCGGCGGGACGUCAUGAAUUCUGUGCGGCAGACGGGGCGGGAUUUUUGCUAGUCGGGGCGGGAGGUGGGGCAGGGCUCCCGCCCCCAGAUCUGCCCAGUUUGCAUUCCUAUUCUUGGGUGAUUUAGCUAUAUUUACUUUACUAUAAUCUAGUUUCAAAAAUUACAUUAAUUUUUUUGUAGUAUUAUUUUAUUUUACAGCAGAAUCUAUCGUUAAGCAGAAUAAUAAAAUUAUAUUUUUGCAGACCACUGGUGAUACCGUGAUAGAGCAUAAUGCUUUAUUAUUAUUAUUAAAAAUAUAUAACAUUUAUCUGAACUAUCAACUAUUUUGAUUCGGCUGCACGACUUUUGAAAAUUUUGAUGUUACUAUUCAAUCUUUCAAUUUGUUUGAUUUGAGACAGUCAACGACAUCGUGAUUUCAAAUUUUAAGCUAAUUGCUUAUUUUAACAAAUUUAUAAUAAAAAAUUUUUAUAAAAUAUACUAAUUAAACCUGUAAAGAUAAAUAAAGCAUUUAAAUUUUAAAGUUAAAGUACUGCUGAUUGACUUAAAUCAAACAAAUUAAAAUAUUAGAUAGUAAAAUCAAAAUUUUAAAAGGUCGGAUAGCCAAUUCAUAAUGAUUUAUAGUUUAAAUAAAUUUUGCACAUUUUUCACCUUUUUUAUUCUAUAAUAUAUAGCUUACUAUUUUGCAAUUUGUAAAAGCUAUUAUUUAACUACGCCUAUUUAGCCAGUAGAACUUCACGGUUAAACGAAAAUAAAAUUAUAUGGUAACAAUGUAUAACAUUUUUAAACUAUACAGUAAUAAAGUAAAAAAUGUACUAUAUCUUAAGAAAGACAAAUUAAAAUUUACUCUGAAAUAAUAUGUUUAAUGUUAGAUAAUAAUCCACAUGUUGUUUGGUUCCGAAUAAUAACUAGAAUACCAAUAAUCCAAUACAUCCAACGAAAUUCGUGACCGAAAAAAAUUUAAAUUUUAUUAUAUUCGGCAGAAUAGCUGAUCAAAAUAAAUGUAAAUUUUAAUUAUAUUUGGUCAUUGGCGAUUGAUGUGAGGUGUUUUAUUUGGCAGGUAGUAUUGGAAGUGAAAUGAAACAGCUAAGUUCCUUGUAUCUACUGUUCCAAAAAGUUGCUCUAUUAAUUGUCCUUUUCUGAGAAUAAAAUGAUUAAAAAGUAAUACUGAAUCAUCAACUGAACUUAAUAAGGAUAGUUAAUUGACUAAAAAUUUGAUAGUUAGUAUUUGAAAUUUUAAGUUUAAAUUUUAGUUUUUUUUUUACCCUACUAAUUGAAUUUAUUUUUUUUUCAAAAAAGAAAGAAACGGAUAGCUUGCUAUCUGUCUCUUAAAAAUAGAAAAAUAUAUUGAAUACGUGGCUUAACAAUAACAGCAGCAGCAGCAGCAGCAGCAGUGACAACAACAGCACUAGUAAGAACCAUUUAAACUUUGAUCACUUAAGCUAUGUUAAAAUUUUAUAUGUGAGAAUAGUUUUCUAAGGAUCAAUAACAAAUUAGAGAAAGGGAAAGCACUAACAUAGGCAAAGACAAUUAAAAUUUUAUAUUAUUUUUAUUGGUCCUAGGUGACAUGUCCUAUUCUUGAGCUAAUGUAUAGUUUGAUAAUUUUGGCCCACUAGUGAUUUUUAUAAAUACAUCAGAGGCGUAUAAGAAGGUUUUAUUCUUUGCACUUAAAUUUUAGGAAAAACGUCCAAUACUCUCCUUGUGGUUUCACUUUUUCUCACUUUAGUAUAUAUCCUAUGAUUUAAAGUGUAUCAAGUUAUUACCUGUGAUUUUUUACUUUUUCACUUUAGUAUCUUGUGAUUUAAAGUUUAUCAAGUUAGUAUUCUGUGGUUUCGCACUUUAUCACUUUAGUACCCUGUGGUUUAAAAACCAUAUGGUACUAACUUGAUACAAAAAUAAAAUCACAGGGUACUAACUUGAAACAAAAAUAAAACCAUAGAGUACUAACUUGAUACACUUUAAACCACAGAGUACUAAAAUGAUAAAGUGAGAAACUAUAGGGUACUAACUUGAUACAUUUUAAACCAUAGGGUAUUAAAAUAAAAAAGUGCGAAACCACAUAGGGUUUUUUUAAAGUUUUCCCAAAAUUUAAAUUCAUGUUUUUCACUCGCCUCAAAUUGCUUAGCACUUACAGCUUGGAAGUGGUAAUCUGCCAAAAUCAUAAAUCAUAAUAGGAACUCCAAAUAGAUCUAAUACAAACAUACUUGUAAUGAAAAAAAAAAAGAAAAAAGAAAAGGUUAUGAACCCGCCGCUUCCUCUGUUUCAGGAUUGCUUUGAUACCAAUAUAUUAUGACAAAAACGGAAAGAAUCUAGUUCGUCGAGUAUAAAAAUAGUAAAAUUGAAUGGGAGAAGAAAAAUAAAAUAUAUAAAUAUUUAUAUAAUUUGACCACUGACCUACGUCCACAGAUGAAGAUGGAACAGAGACUUUUAUUAUAAUCAAAAUGGUGUAUAAAAUAUGACUUUUUUACAAAUUCCUAAUCUCAAAAUAUACUCCUAUUCUAUUUCAUCUGCCGGCUACCGCACUAAUACAGAAUAAAAAAUAUAUUUAUAAUUGCGGCUAAAUCCUAAUAUAACUAGAAAUACAAAUCCAACGAAAAUUAGCAAUAAUUUUAAUAAGAUUAAAAAUAAUCUGAACUUAACUUAAUAUGAUAAUCAAAAUAAAAUAGGAUUAGAAAAUCUUUCAAUUCUACAAUUUAAAAUAUAUCUAAUAAAAAAUAAAAACAAAAAUAUGAUUAGUUCUUUCUUAAUUGGCAACUCAGAACGGUCCAUUUACACACCCAAAAAUAUAACCAUAAAUUUUACAUACGUUCAUUCAAUUAAGGAUCAUUUGUUUUAAUUAUACGAGUCUUUUUGAAUUAUUUUCUAUAUUAAAAUUUUUAAAAAUUUUCAAAUUCGUGAUUGGAUAGAUGCAAAUUAAGUUUACAAUCUACUUUUUUGAAUAUAAAAGUAGAGAUUCUCUUUAACAAAACGAGUUUCCAUUGAGCCUAGUAGGGCCACGUACGGUCUAAAUGAGACCAAACUUGUGUCCCUCUUUGUCCUCAUUAAUUAAUUAAUUAAAAGAUAAAUUAGUAAACCUUGUCCCAUCGUUUUCUUCUAAACGCGCUUCCACAUUUCAUUUUCAGCCACAAUUUUAAACAUUCUCCAUCUCCUCCCAUUUACAUUUUCUACACUAAUUUAAUUGUCUUUUUUUUUUUUUNUAGUAAACCUUGUCCCAUCGUUUUCUUCUAAACGCGCUUCCACAUUUCAUUUUCAGCCACAAUUUUAAACAUUCUCCAUCUCCUCCCAUUUACAUAUAAUACACUAAUUUAAUUGUUGUGCUUCACGUGUGAUGCUCUUUCUCGUGCACAACCCAUUUCUCUCUCUUUCUCUCUCUCUCUCAAAAACUCUUUUUUAUCGCAGUAAAUUCCACAUAAUAAUAAAAUAAGAACUUAGAAAACUUAUUUUAAUCGUAAAAUAUUUUGAUUUGAUUAUUUGUUUUUUUAAAAAAUUUUAAGUUUGCUAUCCACCUUUCAAUUUAUCUAAUUUAAGUCAAUCAAUGAUAUUUGGACUUUAAAUUUAAGCUAAUUAUUUAUUUUAAUAAUUUUACAGUUGUGAGAAUUGCAUAAAAUAUACUAACUAAAACUGUGAGGAAAAACGAUGCAUUCAAAUUUCAAAAUUAAGGUGCUGUUGACCGACUCAAAUCAAAUAAAUUGAAAGAUUAGAUACCAAAAUUCAAAAUAUUAAACUAUUAGAUAGACAAAUCAAAAUUAUCUAUAAUUCAGGUAAUUAAGUUAUGUAUAUUUUUCUAAAAAAAAUAAUAAAAUCUAUCUUUCCUUUAAAUUUUGCAUGCACACUUCAUCACCCUAGAAUAAUAACAUGAGUUCAGAAACCUAACCCUCAAAAUUGCACUUAUACAUAUCAAUCUCAUGGUCGGCGCUCGAAUUCCCAACCAACAAGUUAUUAAUAAUUUGAAUAUUGAUAACAUCCAAUUAUUUAUUUCCAUUUUUAAGAUGUUAUUUUAAUGUGAAGUUAUUAUUAUGUUAUUAAAUUUUUUACUAUUUCAUAGAAUAAAUAUAACUAACUUAAAAUGCAAUCCUAUGUUAUGUAAGUGUUAAAAAGAAAUUUUUUUAAAAAAACUUUUUCUUCCGUAGGCGCGUUAACUUGUUCUCUCUCUCUCUCUCUCUCUCUCUCUCUCUCUAUACCGCGUAAGGAGAGUUGAAGAGUCUUCUUGGUCAGUUUCGGAGCAUCUUCCACUCUGACCACAAACUUUAACACGUACCACUAAUUCGUGUCCAAUGGCAUGUAUACAACAAAUAUUUUUUUUAAAAAGCGAUAAUUAAUCCGAGAGUUAGAAUUGGUCAAACAAUCGUACAAAAAUUUAUCUCUUGUGCCCGGUUCAUCCGUACAUUUCAUAAACCAUGCCAUUAAUUAAUAGACACGUUAAAACAUGUAUUUCGACAUUCAAAUGAACUACGCUCUUGUCUUUUUCUUAAGAAAAAAAUUAGAUCAUGAAUUUUGGACACAUGUUUCUUGUAUAGCGAACAAUAUUCAUGCAGAUCAUGUUUGUUAAAUUAAACUUUAAUCUAUAAAGCUAUGAAAUAUUAAGAUUUCGUUUGGAAUUGUAGAAUCAACGUGCAUGAUUUCAUACUUCGAAGGAUUCGAGUAAAUUCAAAAAUAUUUCGAAUGUUUUAUUCUUUCAAUGUCAUAAGAUUUAAAUUGUCAUCGAAGAAUUAAGCACUAUUUAUAUUUUUUGAUGACUAUUUUCGUACUAGAGAUUUUAUUUUUGUUUUUGUUUUGUUUUUUUUUGGCGCGCUCUUUGUAUAAAAUUAGAGAGUGUGUGUAUAAUUAGAAAAUGUAAAUUUCAAACUAAGCUUCAUGUGUGGCACAAGAGACGUACGGAUGCGCCCAGCGUAGAAAAUAAUUGCUUAAAUGAUAAGCUCUCUCGCGAUUCGUUAUCAUUGUGUGAAGAAGCGAAAAAUGUAGAGUCAUUUUCCUUACUCCUUAGUCAAUCUCCUCAGUUUGAUUCUACACAAAAGAUUAAUUGUUCGGAAAAGCGCUUCUCUCCACCUCACCCCUAUAAAAAAGCCCCUCCAUUUGCUUACUCCCCACCCAACACAAACUUAAUUCCUAGUAGUAACAUAGCUUUCCCAAAGAAGAGCACAAAAGAGCGCUUCUUCAGUAGAUGUGCUUCUCCAAUUGAUACCAACUAAGUAUUAAGCACGCUAAUUGCUGUAAUUAAUGGAGAACACCUUUUCCCCUCUAAUCGCGGAGCUAACGCAAAUUAAGGAGCUUAUGAUGCAGCUAGAGGCGCAACUGGAUCAGCCGUUUCCGAUUGAGUUGAGCAAGUCCAUGGUGUCGAAAGCGCUUCUCGCCACCGAGAAGUCGAUCUGCAUGGCGAAUAAGUCGAGCUUCUGCUGCCCCAACUGCGGGCCGGAGGGGGUGUCGCCGCCGCACUCCGCUAGCGGCAGCCCCCGGAGUGAGGGCUCCGACCAUGCGUCUAAGUUUCACGAACGAAGGGAAUUCCUGAAGAAAAGGUAACGAAUCAAUCCUUCUAAAUUAAUAAGAAGAAAAGCCGAAAAUAUUAGUGUAUUCUUACAUCGAGAACCGUAAAUUUAUCGGUCUUUUUUAUCGAGUUUGCAAAAGUUAUUAUUUCAUUAGGACCCUUUUGAGAAGCUUUUUAAUUUGUUUGAAAAGUUUUUCUUAAUAGCAAAGUAAAGUUUUGAGUUUCUACCUAUGAGUUUAUUUAUUUAUUUAUUUAUUUUUUCCCUCAAACAUUAUAGGAAGGCACUGCCAACAUGGAGGAGUCAAGUAAAGGUGGGCGCAGAGAGUGGAUUUGAAGCUCCUUUGGAUGAUGGAUAUAGCUGGAGGAAAUAUGGCCAAAAAGAUAUUCUAGGAGCCAAAUAUCCAAGGUUAGUUAUAGUUUACAUAUAUAUAUAUAUAUAUAUCCUACACUACACUCAUAUAAAAAUAAUAAUAAUAAUAAUACACCUCACAAAACAAAGUUAAA
rnacentral:lncRNA from 1 species